GAAGCCCAGAAUCUGAUCAUACCGGCCCGGACCCAUAUAACAGCCCUACUUCAGGGACUUUUCUUGUUUUGGCUAACCAACUUCAGUUAAACAAAUGAUUAUUAAAUAAAUAAAAAUAUUUACUAACUAACCUAAUUAAUCAUUUUCAAUUUUUAUAGUUAGGCCAUUUCCAUCUUAACAAUUUUUAAUAAAAAUUUUAUUGCCAUCACUAAAUUUGACUAUUAAUUAAUUCAAUAAUUUUUAAACAUCUCCAUCCUUAUAAUUCUUUAACAAUUUCUAUUCAUAAAACCUAUAUUAUAAUUUAACUUGAAAUUUUUAUUUUAUUUUAUUUAUUUAUGCAAAAUGAACUAAAAUUAAAUAUUUUGCUUAAAAGAUUGAUCCAUAUGCUUAUGUGACAUUAUUAACCAAACUUCUAAUUUAAAAAUUUUUAAUAAAAUUUAUAAGUUAGCAAGUACACAUAUAACCCUAACAAUUAUUAAAAAUUAUUAAAAUUUUGAAAUGAAAAUACUCUUAGACACUUAUUUGGUCCAGAAAGAAUUUUUAGUUUCAUGUCAAGAAAAUUAACGUAAUUUAAUCCCUAACCUAAUCAUCCAUUUUCACAAGGUAGCAAUUAGCAUAAUGUAUGUUUAUCUGAAUGGAGUUGUUAUUCGAUGCUUUAAUUUUUUCUUUAAACGCUCUAACUAAAUGACUAAUUGUAUAUCAUUACAUCAUUAAAAAUAUGUACUGUAAUUUUAUUUUCUCAGGUUUUAUUCGAACAAAAUUCCGACUAUCUUCCAACUAGUCACCCAUUGCAGGUCACACAUCGCCCGCCGAUCAUUGCCCAAAUUGUGGCUAACCACCCAUUGCCGGUCACACAUCGCCCGCCGAUCAUUGCCCAAAUUGUGGCUAACCACCCAUUGCCGGUCACACAUCGCCCGCCGAUCAUUGCCCAAAUUGUGGUGGCCACAACGAACGGAUGACGAAAUUGUCGUCGCGUGGUGCAGAUAUGAAACUGUCCGUUCGCAGCCCUUGAUAAACGGACGGUAAAACCAUCUUUACGGGGUGAAGAUGGAAGACUGCCCAUCUGUAGUGAUUGGUCGAUUUUUUCUCCAAAAAAUUUCCUAAUCGUUAAAUGAUUGUCCUUUUUAACAUUUGAUCCUUUUUUCGUCCAAACUCAGUCGAACCUGCCGGUCAGAGUCAAACAGAGUAUCUUAUGCAUUAGAAUUGUGGGGAGUUGUCUCGCAGAGUGAUCUGUCUGCCGUUUGAAGUUAGAUGUAAAAUCUCGUUAAAAGAAAUAAACUAAGAUUGAGUUUCCAUUCGAAUAAGGAUUUUAUUAUUUAAAUAACUGGAAGGGUAAUUUUGUAAUAUCUAAAAAACCUAAGACUGAUUAAUUUAAAAACCGUAGGACGUCGAACCGCGAUUCAGUGAUCUGAAAGAGAAGUGUACAUAGAAAUAUAUUCUUUUAUUCAUUAUUUGAACUCACGAUACAAACAUCCAUUUUUAGUCCCGCGAAAAUACAACCAGCUUUAUUACUUUUAUUAUUUAUUAAACAUUAUUUUACUUCUUAUUAGUUAUAUCAUAAAACUCAGUAGUCCCUCCUCUGCUGAGACUGGUUACCAGGGCUGAAGAGCGAAACCUCCCUCCGGCUAAACUUGAUCCUCUGGGCCUCCUCCCUCGACACUCCGAACGCGUUAGCCAGCACAUCCCUCGGAAUCGCCCUAAUCGUGGACGCCCUUCCGGCAAUCUGGUUAAUCUUAGCGUUGUCGUUGGUCUUGAAUGCAACCCAUUCAAGCCCUUCAUUUCCAGCUCUCUUGAUCACAGCGAAGCCCUGCGGGGCAGUGAUUAUCUGUCCCUGCUGCACUUGCCCGUCGAACACACUCUCCCCGUUCUCGUUCACGAUCUGGACCUGACCGCUCCCGCGUGUGAUGUACGCGACGCUGUGCGCGUUGGUGUUCCAGUGCGGCGUCAUCAGAGCGUUCCUGUAGAGGAAUCCCUUCUGUGCGCUGAGCUGGAGUUGGCGGAGGAUCGGGAGGUUGAAGCUGUUGACGGUUGUGAGUCGUCCAGCGCGUGGGUUGAAGACAUCGGCGCGUGAAGGGUCGUCGAUGUUCACCUUCAGCUUGGCUGUGCAGAAGGUCUCUUCAAUUCCGUUGUACCUGUCGUCGCCGCCUUCCCUUCGGGAUUGCCUCUCCUGUUGGCUGAAUCGUGGGCUGAGGAAUUCAAGCUCUUGCUGGACUCUGACGAUGAUUCCCCUGUUGUCGUUCUCGCUCUUGAUCCUCCUAGCAAGGUCGGUGUCGAUGUUGAAUGCCUCAGCCAAGAACUGCUCGUCGAUUGCUUGGAAGAUGUUGCCGGAUCGCUGCCCUUGUUGUCCCCUGUGUUGCUCGCCUGCCUGGUGUAGGUGUCUCGACUGCUGCCCUCUCUGCCCCUGCACCUGUCUCUGCGGGUUCCCUGCGAGGAAGAAUUUCUGCGGCCAAAGAAAAAUCCAAUUCGAUAAAUUGAUUUAAUUAGAGCGCAAAAUUGGGAAUUAGAUAAAACUAUCGACCCUGAAGUUCGAUUAAAUUGAUUUAACUAGAGGGCAAAAUUGGGAAUUAGAUAAAAUUAUCGUUCAUAAUUUUUUUUCGAUGAAUAAUAUAGCUCAUAAUAUGUAUCGUGAAGUUGGAUAAAAUUGAUUUAAUUAGAGGGCAAAAUUAGGAAUUAGAUAAAAUACCCUGAAGUUCUGGUCGAGCUGGUUGUCGGAGCUGCUAGUGUCGAAGAUCUGGACAAGAACAAGAGGAGAUUGAGCGUCGUUGUAGAACCAGUCUACGACUCCGGCGGGGAUGGCGAUGACGUCUCCCCUGCGGAUCUCUCUGACUUUUUGGUGUUGGUCCCUGGAUCCUUGUCUCUGUUCCUGCUGGGAUUCCUCCUCUGAUUGGUAUGUCUCGGGGCAACCCGGGAAGGCGGCUCCGUGGAAUCCUCUUCCUGCGCAUCCAUUUUAAUUUUUUUUAUUUUAGUUUUGAUUGCCAACGACACGGGUAAAAUUUAAAGUUUAAAAGAACAUAGUCAGAAAGGUAAAAGUAAAAAACAGAGUUGUGGGGAUUGACCUUGGUCAACGUAGAUGAGCUUGGGGGCGUUGGAGUAAGCGGGCAAGAGGAGGCCUCUCUGCUCGAUGGUGUGGCGGAGCUGCCAUUGGCGGCGGGCUCCCGGCUGCUGCUCUUGUGUUUCAUGUUGGGCGGAGCAAGCGUGGAAGAGGAGGACGGAGCAGAGUGCAAGAGCAAGGAAAGUGUAAUUGCGGGAAGAAGCCAUUGCGUUUAUGUAAAAGGGAGAUUGUUGUUGUGAUGAGGAUGGGAUGAGAGUGUGGGAUGGUAUUUAUAGAAGCGAACCAUUUUGGGACGUGGCGAGGCGUAUUGUGUUUUUUUUUGCAUGGAGAGUUGUCGUGUAUUGGGAUAAGCUUUUGCAUGGCUUCCUCUCUGUUUACUGUAUACACAUACUGAUGAUCCGAUGUGUUGUUUGCCACGUACGUACUACUGUCACUGCCACUCGGACGGCUUCUAGCUAGGGUUGCCGAAUCAUUCCGAGCAUAUUCGGUUUCCAUUCAAUUUUAACCACAGCAUGCAUGGAUGGAGUUACACUAAAAUGUACAAGGAUAGGAAGUGCUAGUAAUUUCACUUUUAUCAUCUACGGUUUUACAUAACGUAGAUGUUUCAUCGGCGCAUGCGGUGGGUGGGUUUUUCUGAGAUGGAAAGAUACGUAAGCAAUUCGUAUAGUGCUGCCUUCCCUUGUACAUUUGGAUGUUGAUAAGAAGAUUGUUGAUUCUCUGUAUAGGCUAGCUAGGGCCUAGGGAUGAUCCCAUACAUCUUUUUCUGAGGUUUUUGUAUAGUAUUUUUCCACUAUGGACAAAAAUUAAGUUUAAAUUCACAUUUAACCUAAUGACAUUGUGAAUCAGAAAAGUAAUAACGGUACAAAUUCUCCAUGACCUAACUAAAGUGGGGCAUUUCAUUUUAGUAAUAAUGGAGAAUUAUGAAUUAUUUUUCAUGAUUAAUCAUCGUGUUUGUUGAUUAGCCUGAAGAGAGGAUAAAACUGAGGAAGACAUGAGGCAACUCAAUGGAACGACCAAGUGUUGCCAACUGGUCGUACUGUCACAGACCACCUUUUUACCGAUGAAAAGAUAUCACUUUCACCUUGCAAAUAUGAACAACAAAAUCAAAAUGAACUAAAAACCUUACAAAACAAGAUGAACAAGCCUUUAAAGCCCGGGCCAAUUCAUUAUUCUAUGCUGCCCAUUGCUAAUAUCCGUCCACGUGGCCAACCUAAAAAUACAUAUGUGUAAGCAAGGAAGAGAUUCCAGGCCAUGCAAAUUCACUACACGACACACACACAUGCAGAUACAACAACACACACAAAAUUAUACCACAACAGAACCCAUUUUGCCACGUCUCCAAAUUAUUCACCCUACACAUUAUUAACUCAACAGAAGCGCCACUUGCCACGUCCCAUGCAUAAACUUGUCACACUACAUGGUCUCCGCGUCUCUCUAUAAAUACAAAUAAACUUUCCAAAUCAGCCAUCUCAGCACCACAACCCACCCAUACAAACAAACGAACCAAAAAUGGCUUCCAAAUCGGUCCUCUCGCUCUCACUAUGCCUCCUAGUACUUUUCCAUGCUUGCUCCGCCCAGCUGGAGCAAGUGACGUCUCGCCAAGGCGGCAUGGGACGUGUGUCGGAAAAGAGGCGAGAAGGGUACAGCCAAAACGAGUGCCAGUUCAGUAGCCUCAGCACUAGGGAGCCCGACCGCCAUAUCACCUCCGAGGCCGGAGUCACCGAGGUCUGGGACGAGAACGACGACCAGUUCCAAUGCGCCGGUGUCGCCGUCCUCCGCCACACCGUCGAGGAGCGCGGAGAGCGUGGCCUCCUUCUCCCUGCCUACACAAAUGUCCCCAAGCUCGUCUACGUGGACCAAGGCAUGCAUAUUCCAUUUGCAUGCCUUUUUAUAAACAGGGAACUAUUUUCUUAAUAUAUAUAUAUAUAGUUGUUUUUAUAAACAGGGAACUGUUUUCUUAAAUUAUCUAUAUAUGUUAAUUUGGCGCGUAAUUAAUGCAGGUAGAGGGUUUCACGGAGCAGCCAUCCCGGGUUGCGCUGAGACAUACGAAUCGGGUCACGAGGAUUCCGGAUCCAGGCAGGACCCGAGACAGGGAUUCAGAGACCAACACCAGAAGGUCCGACCGAUCCGAGAGGGUGACGUCAUUGCAUUGCCAGCUGGAGUUGCUGACUGGUUUUACAACGAUGCUCAAACUCCUCUCGUCCUCGUCCAGCUCCUCGACACCAGCAACCCUGCCAACCAGCUCGACCAGAACUUCAGGGUACGUAAUUCAAACUCUUCUCGUCCUCGUCCGUUGUUUGAAAUUUGAAUGUCCCGUUAAUAUAUUUGGUGAUGUUGCAUGCAGAAAUUCUUCCUGGCAGGGAACCCACAACAGCAGAUCCAAGGGCAGAGAGGGCAGCAAGUCCAGAGCGGAGAGAGCCAGAGACAAUCGUCGAGGAGAGGUGGUUCGAGCAGGCUGCAGGAAGGGAGGUCCGGAAACAUAUUCCAAGGCUUCGACGAGCAGUUCAUUGCGGAGUCCUUCAACGUGGACACCGACCUUGCUAGGAGGAUGAAGAACGAGAACGACAACAGGGGCAUUAUCGUCAGGGUUGAGGAAAGUCUCCAGUUCUUGACCCCUGAGUUCAGCCAGGAGGAGAGACAGUACCAACACCAAGGUGGCAGCAGCAGCAGCAGGUACAGUGUUAACGGCGUUGACGAAACCUUCUGCUCCGCUAAGCUCAAACAGAACCUCAACAACCCCUCACGCGCUGAUGUCUUCAACCCACGCGCUGGCCGCCUCACCACCGUCAACAGAUACAACCUCCCCAUCCUCGGCGCCCUCCGACUCAGCGUCCAAAAGGGCCAUCUCUACCGCGUUAGCAAACUAACUAAUAUGAUGGAGGACAAAAGUGUAAAUACAAUAUUGUAUGUGGUCCCCACCCUACAAUUCUGAUUUUGCGGAUGCAUGCAUGCAGAACGCGAUAAUGGCGCCGCACUGGAACAUAAACGCCCACUCCGUGUGCUACUUCACUAGAGGGAACGGAAGGGUGCAGAUAGUGGACGAGGAAGGAAAGUCGGUGUUCGACGGGGUGGUCCGAGAAGGUCAAGUGCUGACGGCGCCGCAGAACUUCGCGGUGAUAAAGAAAGCAGGAGGAGAAGGGCUGGAGUGGGUGGCGUUCAAGACAAACGACAUGGCGAAGGUAAACCAGCUGGCAGGUAGGGUGUCGUCGAUGAGGGGGUUCCCGGAAGAAGUGAUCGCCAACUCGUUCCAGGUGUCGAGGGAGGACGCUAGGAGGCUCAAGUAUAACAGGGACGAAGCUACCUUGUUCAGCCCUGCCUCUCAAUCCCAGUACAGGCCCCUCUUCUAGACUACUGCAUGCUUUAACGGAGUCGAAAUUUUUCUAAAAAUGUUUUAAAGUCGAGAUCGAGGAAGUUGAAGAGAGAAUGGUUUGAUGUCUAGAAAGUAAAUUAGAGUUCAAGAAUAAAGCAAAUCUCCUACUAAACUUACAUAUAUAUUAAUGUAUAAGAAGGGUAGGGGAUUAAGUUAAGGGACUGGUUUUGGUCUCCACUCUUUGCAUUAUAUAAGAGGUCCAACCUUGACUUAGGGGAAGCAUGAAAUGAAAACUUUCUCCAAAGCUCAUGGGAAACCUGAUUGAUUUUCUUCUACACAUUCUAACCACCUUUGUAUUUUUUAUGAAAAUACAUUCGAGUCUGACACACACAUAAGCUGCGCAAUGUGCAAAAGCUAUAUUGGGCCUACUGUUAUUACCCAAAAUGGGGCCGCAAACUUAAUGGGCCUGAUGUUUUGCUGGAUUAUGAUUUUCACUGGUCAGUGCUCACUAAAGGUCCGACAUGACAUUUUGCCUCUAGUCUUUGCGUUCCCAUCCAGCAUAUGACCAGGUCCGCAACGCUUAAUUUAAAAACAUACAGAUUGGAUUAAAGAAUAGGCGCGUUGCUUAGUGGCUAAUUAAUUCCAUGCUUAGGAUAGGAAGCCAUCCAAAGAGAGAUGGGAGUCACUUUUUGGGGAUUCAAGCUUGAAAAGGGGUACUUGCAUUAGCAAGCCAACGAACGAACGUACGAAGAAGGAGAAGCUGUAAAGUGAAAAGCAGGCGCAGGCAUCUGGACAAAAGCGAGGAUGCGGCCGCUUGCCCACAAACUAUCCUUAAAGCAGAGAGUUAGAGCUCCUUUGUCGUCUUUUACGUCGAAACUAAAGGAAUACUCCAAUUACCCCGCCGGCCAUCUCCUUUAAAUUCAAAAAUUCCCUAACCCAAAAUAUUACUCAUAAAUAUUAACAUCUAACCAAUCUAACAAGACAACAAAAAGUUUUUUAAACUUAGUAAACAACUCAAAAGAUUCGUCUUCUACAAACCUUCACUAGAUUUUUUGUUAUAAUUUAAUUAAUAACUGAAGAUAAUAAAUAUGUCUGCAAUUUUUAUGGAAUUCAUUCUAAAAUACCUUCUUAAUUUCUCACAAUUACUAUAACUAGAUUCAACACGAAAUUCAAAAUUUAGAAUUCAAAAUGAAUUCCUUCAUAUGCGUCACAUAUUCAUAUGGAUUAUAGUAAAACUUAUUUCGGUUGAUGUAUCUAUAUCCAUACUAUGUCUAUAUGAUAAUGAAAAGUAAAAUUAGGAUUUAUCAUUAAUUCUAUCGGUUUCAAGAUAAUUACUCACUAAUAAUUAUUUAAUUAUCCUAAUUAUACAAAUCAACUAAUUAAAAAAAAGCUUCAGCCGGCCGCCGGACGGGCCCUCCUGGCUAUUUUUUUUUUCGAUUUCGUACCUGAAACGGCCGCUUUCGAUCUUCGAUUUUUUCUUCGGAUCUUCGUUUGAGAGUGUUUGAGUUCGUCAAUAUACACAACUUCUUAUAUGAAUUUCGGUUUUAUGAAAGUACAAUAUUGUAAUUUACUUAAAUUAGGACGUCGUUUAGUUCGAAUGUUAGGAUAUCGUUUAGUUUGAAUGUUAGGGCGUAAAAUAGAGAUUCAGUUAAUUAAUGUACAACAUUUGGAACUUUUUGUACUAGGGUCUAGGGAGUAAAACUAUGCGUAUUGGGCGGGUUUCUUCCUUCGACUCCAAUGUAACCCAAACCUCAUUUACUGGAUAAAGGUUUUAUUUUCAUUUCAUUGUUUUUAUUGGACUCACUCCUUAACAUAUGUUUGGAGUUGUGCAGUUUAUCACAUGUGCUGGUGAUAUAGAAGUAUAAGGUUCGAAUUCAAUAUAUACUAAAAUUGAACAUUCAUAUAAUANNNNNNNNNNNNNNNNNNNNNNNNNNNNNNNNNNNNNNNNNNNNNNNNNNNNNNNNNNNNNNNNNNNNNNNNNNNNNNNNNNNNNNNNNNNNNNNNNNNNNNNNNNNNNNNNNNNNNNNNNNNNNNNNNNNNNNNNNNAGCUUUUGUUAAAUCCUUCGUGUAUAAAAAACAAGUUAUAAACCUUACUUGCAUAUUGAUAAAUGGUCCUUAGUAUAAACAAGCUCAAUUUUUUUGAUUAAGUACAUAAUAUUGGAGGUUUAUUUGUGUGAGAAAAUUGAGUGAUAGAUUAUGAAGGAUUUGNNNNNNNNNNNNNNNNUUUUAAAAUAGUAUUACCCUCGAAUUCACCCGUAUAAACGAACUUUUAAUUUUAACUUUUUAGAUCCAUCUUAUGAAAAAUAACAAACUCAGAAGUUUGUUGGUGUAUGAUCUUAUGCAUGAUGCACCAUUUUUAUAAGAAGUUAAACCUCAACGUGCGAAUCCAGCUUAAUAUGUAAUUUCUGAUAUUCUUUGGUCAAAGUAAUAUGCCACAACUCUUCCAAAUUCAACCCUAGUGAUCAAUUGAGGCAUCGAGCAAAUUCCCAUAAAUGUUCAUAUUAUCCGUUCAGGUGCCAUUUAUUAUCCGUUCAGGUACCAUUGUUUCCUAUAGCUAGCUUGUCUAUUUAGUGGAAAACAGUGUUACGUUUUCUUUACUUUUCUAAACAAAGAGUUUUCAAUAAUUUCUGUUUUUUAUUAUUUUCAAACAGGUUCCACGAAAUUGCUAUCGCUCCGAGAUACAUUUUUUCGGAUCAAUCCGACAGCCGAUCCAACGGUUCAAAAUUAUUUUUUCCAAUUUCAUUCCGACGGUUGGUAUUUUAUCAGGGGUAUAACGGGGAUUACAUAAUAAUUUAUCUCUUUCAACUUUUCUUUCUCUCUCCUCUCUCUACUCUUCUCACGUAAAUUGGAUACAACAAUGACAUAAAAACUAUGUAACAAUGACGUAACGUGGAUAUAACAAUUUACAUAUGAAGUCGACAUAAUGAGCCUAUUAAAAGGACAUAAUAAAAAACGCACAACAAACUCAUAAAGUGUAUAUAUCGUCGAUAUAGAAGAGUGGUAAACUGAACAUAACGAUAAUGAAUUCAACCACUCGUAAGGUGGACGUGGAAACUACAUAACGAGCCCGUAAAAUGAUCGUAUUAGCGACAUAACAUGCUUGUACAAUGAGCACACUAAUGUGAUUUUUUCCAAUUUUUGUUCCGAAACUACCCAUUUAAGUUAAUUCGUUUGACUGAUUUUUAAUCGUUGGAUGAAAAUUGACCCCAAACAUACUAUGAUCUGUCGGGAUAAUCUUUCGAAACCGCCUCUUGCAACGAUAGCCGGAUUUGCAAGUUCUACACCUAAUUAUCAUAUAAAAAAAAAAGAAUAAUGCCAUUGAGGUGGGGAUAAGGGGGGUAGAGCAGUGGUGGAUAGCUAGUGGUUGAGGGAGUCUUUUUGGUUGUCGGGACUCCAAUCCAUAUAUAUAUAUAUACAUAUAGUUUUAAAAACACAGAGGAAAAUGAUUCAUGAAGCUUCCACAAAACAAGCUCACAUGGGGAGCAAAGGUUUCUUUAAAACCGAAAACGAAAGGGAAAUGAAUCAAAGAUGGUCAAAUUACACCAUUAUCGUCGAUCGUGGGGUAUUCUCAUAGGGCCACACUUUUUCAUUUCUAGUUGAACGUAACACUUUGAAUGCGACAUCUAAACGUACUCUGUUUAUUAAUUAGUAAACUAAUUGGGAUUGGAGAUUCUAAUCAAUCAAAUUUGUCGAGGGAGUAGUUAACUAUUUUGAAAGUUACUUAGGAUUACACCUGGCAAUUUCAGACCAAUCCGUUGACCAACCUGAACUUGCCCAAAAAUUUAGGAUUGGGUUUGUUAUUUUAGCACUCGAAACUGAAAUGAUCCGAACUUGAAAAAUUAACAUUUUUUUGGUGGGUUAGGAUCGGGUUUAGAUUUAGUGUAUAUUAUAAUUAUUGUUUUUAACAUCACCCAAAAAGUUUUAAUAUUUAGUCAUAUUUAUGAUUAUGAUUUUUUAUUUUAUAAUGUUUUUUACUUUCUUUCAUGUUAUUAUAUAUUACAGGUAAAAUACCCAAAUCUAACCUAAACUAUUUUGAUGACCAAUAUCUGACUAAUAGUUUUGGUCUUUCGACAAUUCUAACCCGUUAACCAAAUUUUUCGUUAAAUUCUUAACACCGUUAGUGACGAGGUAGACGGAACUGACAUGACAUGCGCUUAACCGGUCAAAUGAAUGUCAUAUCAGCUGCAACGUUGUUGAAAUCUAGAUCUUUCACUCAAUCAUUUCAAAGACGACAAUCCACCAACAUUUAUUUGCAGCAGACAACAAACCACCAACAAAUCUUCAUUAUCUAGCCACCAAAAUUAAAUAAAAUCUGUUGUGAUAAGAUGAUAAAAUAUAUAUGUUUUCUCUUGAUAAAUCUAUAAAGGCUAUAUAAAACUUACAUUCAUUGUGUACCGAUCAAUCAAGCAAAGUAUAAAUAAUAAAAUAAGAGCUUCUCCUACUAUCAAAUUCUCUGCCGAAGCCAACAGAGGAAGCAGAGAACUUUAUCACAUCUCUUCAACUCUUUCAUAAAAUUUCAAUUCAGCGUAAAAAAAUUUCUACUUUACGAAACAAUCAUCCAACAUUUUCCUUUUAACGUAUCAAUCACUACAUUAUUCCAAUAGUUCUUACAGGUCAAAAUUCACUUCCGUAAAAAUUACCUUAUCUUUUUACUAUUCACAAAAAAUUACCUUUAGGCCAAAAUAAUUUAGAUGGCCUCCACGAGCAUCUCCUUACCUUCACCUAAGAUUUUCAAAGGUGAAAACUAUAACUAUUGGGCGGUUCGAAUGAAAACACUUUUCAUGGCCAAUGAUCUUUGGGAGAUCAUCGAAGAUGGCAUCGAACCUCUCAAAUCAGAAGAAAAAUCAUCGAAAGAUAAACCACCAGAAGAAGAAUCAUCGAAAGACUAGAAGAAACAAAGUAAAGAAGUCGCCAUGAAGAAUAAGAAAGCCAUUACUUUCAUACACGCAUCUGUCUUGGAAAAUAGUUUUUCAAGAAUCGUCGCCGCCACCACCGCAAAAGAAGAUUGGACAAUUCUUGAAAAGGAAUUCAAGGGCUCGGAGAAGGCGAGAAUCAUCAAACUACAAACGUUGAAGAGAGAUUUCGAGAAACUUAACAUGAAGGACGACGAGACACUGAAAGGCUACUCAACUAGAGUAGCGGAUGUGACAAAUCAAAUGAAGCUCUACGGUAAAAAUUUACAGAUCAGAGAAUCGUGGAGAAGAUGCUCAGAAGUCUGACGGAAAAGUUCGACCCAAUUAUCGCUGCCAUUGAAGAAUCAAAAGACUUGUCAAAACCCACCAUAGCAGAACUUUCAAGCUCUCUGGAGGCACACGAGCAAAGGAUGAACAGAAAGAGCGAAGGGAAUGUCGUGGGAGCACUCCAAACAAAUCACGAACAUAAGUCUUCCAAGAACAACGGGGAAAAGCGACAGAGCACGAAGUCUACGUCGAAAAACACCCACCUUGCGGAACUUACAAAAAGACCAGCCAUCUUGAAAAAAAUUGUUGGAUAAAGAACAAAGCUCAAUGCACAUUUUGCAAGAAAUUAAGGCACGUUCAAAAACUCUGAAAAUUCAAGCAAGCAAGCCAAAUAUCGGAUCAACCUACUCGUCAACAACACAGUAAGAACAACGAAAACUCAACAAAAAAUAAUUUUUCACUAAUCGCUUGUCAUAUGUGUGAAACAGAGAAGUUAGAAUGGCUAGUCGAUAGUGGAUACACCAACCACAUGACAUAUGACGAAAAACUCUUCUCUGAAAUCAAUCGCAACAUAAAGACUUCUGUCCGGAUGGGAAAUGGAGCAUCGACAAAAAUUAAGGGCAAAGACAUCGUCUCACUACAAUCCCCAAGAGACACAAUAACUUUUCGAGGUUGUUGUCCAUUCUUUGAUUUAAGCUUCGUCAUUCCAAUCUUCUUCCACCUUUUUCUUACCGAUUCUUUUUUCUUCCCCUCCCCUUUGGCCAAACAUGUAUAUCAACCUCUCUCUAUCGGUGGGGAGGCUCGACGCCUCAAUUUCUACGAAUAGUGUACUGUUGAAACUCCUCUUUGAAUUCAAUUUGAAUUGGAAGAUAGCAACUACGAUGACCUUCACUUGAUUUUGUUCUCCUUCGCGCCGAACCUCUUCACCUUCCGGGCCGAUUGGGUUCAUGAACUUCAACGGACUCUGCGCGUCGAAAUCCGCAAACCACCUCGAUUUAGGGCUUUUGCCUCAAUUUGGAUUUGGAACUCACAAUCAGGAGUUUGUUUGACUGUAAGUGUUCCAAACAUCUGCUUCACUUGCCAUCAGUUCAAGAGGGAUAGAGAUAAGAGGAACAUGGAAUAUGUUGGAGCGACGAUGUGGAUGAGGCAGCGUCACCGGAGUCGGGUUAAAAUGAGAGGGCAGAGUUUGUAGGUUUAAUUUUUUUUUUUAUAAUUUGGACGAAAAAGUUAGUGAAAUUUUAUUAAAUGGUAGAUUUGAGAUUUAAAAUAAUUCAAACUAAAUUUAACAAUUAUUUCAAAGUUCGGGCUAGAUUUGAAUAUUCGGCCUAAUUACACAAUUCAUAAAUUUUAUAAUAUUACUCAACAUAAGCCAUGUGCAAUAUACCUAAAAUUCAUUAAUCUAUUUAGUAUUUAUUGAACGAUAUUAUUAGUUACGUUGUAAAAUGUUUUCAAAAUAACUACAAAGUGAUAAAUAUUUAGUUUGUACAUAUUCUCCGUGUAUUAAUACAAAUGUAUUGUGCAUAAGUGAUAUCAUGAAUUUGCGUCAAAUUGUAGUAUAGUUAUCUUAAUAAAUUUGUCAUAAUGAUGAUUAUAAUUUUGUCAUGACUCAAAAUGCUUGUAACCCGAAAUAACCCGCAAUUUCUUUGGAAAUUUUAUAGUUAUUGAGUCAAUUUUUGAAAAUAACGAUCCGUGAUCCGAAUGAUCCAACCCAAAACAAACCGUAACCCGAAACGAUCUACUCAAAUUGACCCGACUUAACCGAAUCGUUAAAUUUAAUUAGGAUAAAAAAGAAAUAUAGUUAAUGUCCAAUAAUUAAAGAUGGUAAUAUUCGGCGAAUUUAGUCGACUUGGGUACUAGAAUACAAAACCCUAAAGUAGGUGGGUGGGUGGGUGAAGUUCCAUGAUUCCAGUUAGUUAGCACAGAGCUCCAUACAGUGGAGCGGUUCUCCUCAAGAACGAGAAAAGUAUUUACCACUAUUUUAUUUUUGACUCUCUACCAGCUAUCUACUGUACUGCCCCACCAAUAAUUCUACAAAAGAGAAAUCAAAAUAUAUGCAGUGCUACCAUUCUGAGACAUAUAUUGGUCGACUUAUAUUUGUAUUCAUUUGAUUAGUGACUUGUGUUAAGUCAUUCAAAUUGAUGCACUUAGAAUUUACAAGUUUUUUUUGGAAGGUACCUCGCAAGAUUAGGACCGUCUGAACCCGGGGCUUAGACUGUUGGGUCAAUCUUUAACUCGUUGACGGUUAUACGAAUUUUCAUCCCAACAAACCCCUCAAUAUAAGAAUACCCAAUUCAAACACACUGCACUAAACCAUCCUACUAUUAUGCCGUAGAAUUUGUGGCAAGAAAGGAAUAUCCAAUCAUAGCAAACACAUUAUGAAGCAUAAGAAUAGUUAUAUAAUGAAUUAUUGUGAUAGCAAUGGAUAAUUUUAUUUACAAAAGAGAAUAAAAAACAUAUCUAACAUAAUGGGAAACAAUAUGCUACAAUUAUAAGUACAUGCACCAACCCGCGGGGGAGUUGGCCCCAUCAACCAUUAUCCUAAACCGUAAUAAUAGAGGCAUAACUGAUUAAAUAGUAGUUUAAAGAAACUUAAGUGACUUGACUGAUCACUCCUCACCAAAAUCACAAUAAUGGCGGUAGACCCCACUCUGAUUAAAAUUAGUGUCACUUUAUAAACUAACCCCCCCAAUUGUAUACCUCUAACACAGCCGGCCCCUACCACAGUUAGCUAUCCUUCUUUAUCAACACUAGUAUUGUUAUUGUAUUUCUUCUCCAAAAUCAAAUUAAUUAAUUAAUAAUAAAAUCUUAGGACCCAAGAUUGCUUCCUAUCUUCCCCUUAACUAGGCCCCGACCUUUUCCUCUUUUUUGCCGAAAGUAAUUAAAACGCCUAGCAGCUGUAAGCCCUAGCCGGGGCUGCGCUUAAUUGACUCCUCAAUCCCAAUCAUUAACCACAUUUCGUUAUGUCACAAUAAAAUCAUUAUUAUUAUUUACAUCCAAUUAUUGUUUAUUAACCAUUGACCAGCACGGUUCAAAACAUUUGGGUGUGCUCUUGAAUACCAUUUAUACUAUAUUUUGUUUCUAAAAAGGUUUGUGUUUAGGGUUCAGGGUAUAGUGUUAGGAGGUUAGAGUUUAAUUCUUCGGGUGUAGGAUAUAUUAGUUUUAAUUAAUGAUUAAAAUUUAGAGUUUGUGAUACGAUUUUGAGUAUGAAUUUAUGAUGUUGUGGUUCAGGGUUAUGAUUUAGAGUUUAGGUGGUAGCACCAUACUUUUUUGUUUGUAUAUGAUCUAUUAUAACACUUUUAAAAUUUAUUUUUCGAAUUUCAAAUUUUAAAAAUGUAAAAAUUUUAUAAAAAAAUAUCAAUAUUUCCAAGGUACUCAAAUGUUAUAUAAGAGAUGUUUCGGUGCUCUAAAGUACCAGUGGCUCAACUACCUGUUGGCUGGGGGGAGCCAUGGCAUCCCCUGGAAAAUUAUAGAAUGAGAAAAUGCAAUAGUCAAAUAUUAGUUGCUUAGUAGCCUAGUGGCAGAAUCAACCAAAUGCUAGUAAUAGCUCUCUGUUUCGACCUACUGCUAUAACCAAUUUUGUUUUAUUUUCUUUAAAAUCUUUGCAUUUUUCCCUUGGACAAUCCUUCACCUUUCUUAUUUUGUUGAUUUAAUAAUCGAGAGUUCAAAGAUAACUAUGAAUUAUUUUGAAAAUUUUGUAUUUGAUCACUCAAUUUUUAACACAUUAUAUGACAGGUAGUUGGCGUAAAGCACUUACUACGUGGGUUUUUUACGUAGUGUCAUCACAAAGUACAAGUGCUCUAAGUUUUCUAAAAAUGUUAUUUCUUUCGUACCUUAGCUAAAUUCGUUAUUUAAUAUUAAUUAUUGACUAAAUAUGUAAUAUAUAUUUACUACGUGAAGCAUUAAAUAAAUAUAAAAAAAACUAAAGGACUCUAUAGACUACAUUAAUAUGAAAACGAAAGACCAAAACAACCCCGCUACCGUCAAACAAAAGUGGAAAAGUAAUCAAAGAAUCAUAAAAAAAAUAUUACGAAUGAAACAAAUAUUAUAUAUAAAUAAUGACCGAAGACCAAAACUCCCCCGCUCCCGUCAUGUUCUUCCUACUUUGAAGUGGCAUUCCAGGUAAGAUUUUGAAACGUCGUUGGGCAAUUGAGCUUUAUGCCUUCCUCUUCAUUUUAUUUAAUUAGUAAACUAAUUAAUUAAUUAAUCAACCAAUUAGCACCAAUAUAUAUCGCCCAAAAAAUAUCAAACUACUCAAAGGCUACCUUUCUCUCUCUCUCUCUCUCUCCUCCCCCCAAAUAAUAUAACACAACUUUUUUUUUCUCUCUCUCUCUCUCUCUCUUGCCGUUGAAGAAAUGCGGCGUUCAUCUUCAUCGGGCAACUUCUCCAGGAAGCUCCAGCCAGCCAAGCGUGCCCUGAGGCGGUUAGCCUCCAAGUUCCGAUCCAAGCUCACCGACCUCGACUUCCCUAGAGCCAUCCGGGCCAUCCGAAACAGAACCAACCGGAUCAUCACCUACUGCUACCACCAUCUCUUACGACAACUCCGAAACAGAACCAACCGGAUCAUCACCUACUGCUCCCACCAUCUCUUCCGACACAACCGUUCCCUCAAGCCCACCGCCGCCUCCUCCAAAACGCCGUCCUACCGUCACCACAACCACCACAACUACAUCUCCGACUACUACAGCAGUAAGCGCAACCUCCUCCACCAUAACUUCUCCGCCAUCUACAUCGACCAGCUCUACUCCGACGACGACAACCACGGCUCCACAAGCUCCCACCCCACCGCCGAUCGGCCUGACAAACGGUCCAGUUUCACGACUUCACAACACAUCGNNNNNNNNNNNNNNNNNNNNNNNNNNNNNNNNNNNNNNNNNNNNNNNNNNNNNNNNNNUGAGAGAGGGGUAAGGAAGUGGCGGCUGGUGUUAACGGUAAUAAUAGUAAUAAGAGGCCGCCGCUUCCGUUGCCGGUGGCGAGGAGGAGUAAUUACAAUUGUAGAGAAGGAGGGGUGGUGGAGAAAACGGUGCCGUCUUUGGUACAGAGGAGGAAGAAAAAGGAACAUGUGGUGAUUGUGGAGGAGAAGGAGAAUAAUAAUAAUAAUAAUAAUAAUCCGAUGGAGACGCUAGAAGAUGCGUGGAGGGAAGUGGUGGCGAGAUCGCCGCAGCUCCGGCCGGUGGACGUAAGGGCGGAUGAGUUUAUACAUAAUUUUCGGGCGGAUAUGAAGAUCCAGAAGGAUAAGUCAAUUGUUGAGUACCGUAAGCUGUUGGCUGGAGGUUCGUGAUUAAUUAAUGAAACUUUACUACUAAAUUGUAUUUUCAAGUUUAUCAUCGGAGUGGUGGUAAUUACUAGCAAGUAUGAAGUGUGUGUGUGUGUGUGUUCAUUUUAUAAAAAAAAAUGGUAUGUAUAGGGAUAGGGAAUUAGAGGUGACGAGGGUUUAUUUAGAGAUUAAUUCUCUAUCGAGUGGCUUUCUUUAUAUAAUUUGAUUUUCAAAAUUACAUUCCCCUUGAUGAAUUCUAAGAUGGGUUUUUUUGGUUCUUAAUAAUUACGUACGGGGGAAAGUGUGAUUUUAUGUAGAGAGUUUAAAAUUUGAGUAUAUGGGUUUUCAUUUCCAUUAUUAUGCGUUCCUUCACUUCUAAGGAAGAAUCUUAUCAUUUUUGUUGGCAUUGACAGGAUGGAUGUGAAAAAAGGAUUUAGUAGUGCAUGUUUUAUCAGUAAUUAAAAUGAAAUUUUUACAUUUUAAUUUUGUUCAGUGUUUCAUUCAGCGAAUAGAGUUUCAUGACCAUUAUAUUCCAACAAAUUAGGAAGUUAUAGGUUUUUAUUUUAUGACUUAAUGGACAGCGAAGCAAUUGGAGGAGAUACGCCAUGUCAGAUGAAAUGUUGUUUAAUUGGAGAGGCCGACAGUUUUCCGUUACAUGUUGAGGUAGGCCUAUAAACCAGUGGAGCUUAUUUACUUACGGAAAGGAAAUGUACAAUUGGCAUAUGCAUGUGUGUAGGUAGCUAAAGAAAGAAUAAGCUAAGGGUGGUAUGGAAUAUAUAUGGAUAAAAGCUUAAGGGAGCUUGGCCAACUCGAUGGAGACUUAGUUUAAUUUGUUUCAAAGACUGGAUGAUUAGACAAGAGCUACUGCGGGGUGUGCUCGAGUGGCUUUACAGAACUGAUCAGUUCAAUGAACAUAUGCGAACCAUGCAUUGCAGGGUCCCAUAUUUUGUCAGUCAAGUCUUCUUUUGAUUUGUCUGAGUGCUUCCUUCCAAAGUAACUUUUUUGUUGGGAUUACCCCUCACUCAAUCACACUCACUGGGCUGAGCUAGAUUGUCUGUCAGAUUACGCUGUCUUCUCCGUCUACAAUGUCUAGAUACAUAUAUAUAAUUGCUUGCCCAUGCCAUGCAUUUUCCCAAACUCCAACUUUUACGUUUUCAAUUUCAAAUCAGAUAGUUUUUUUUGAAGUAAAAUCAGAUAGUUAUUAAUUGUUAGUCGGUGGUCAAGAAUCAGUUGGAUUAUGAUGUGGGUAUUGGGUGUCUUGGUGCUGAAGCAAUUCUUUGAUUUGGAUUGGCUAGCUCGUUAAUCCUGGUCUCCGGGGAAUUGGACAGUAGUAGUGUCACCCGGAUGGCUUUUCUUAGAGAUGAGACUUUUUAGGUGUUGUUGUGUCAAUAAUAAUUAGAGUAAUUUUGUUCAUCAAACAAAUAUAAUAAGUAAACAUUAGUUUGUCUCUGAUGAAAUGGUAAAACCCUUGAAUUGGCAAUCAACGAAAUGAUUGAGAGCUUGAUCCUCGCUAAAGUAAUUUUUUUUUUGUUAAUUUCAUACUAAAUUUUUUUACAAUCAAAUGGGCCGCACUCUUCUGCUACGGACAACCACCAUUGCAAAAGCGCUUCCAAGCUUCCUUUACGGAUCAGUAUCGUUGGAUAAGGGCUGAUCGUCAAAAUAAUUGUGAAGUUAUCUCGACAACACAAGUGUCGUAUGUGUAUAAGGAUUCUUCUCGUUAUGUUUUUACUCAAACUCGUCAACACGGUCUACACUAAACAAAUUGAGAAGGGUUUCUAAUGAUUCUAUUGAUUCAAUUAAAACUAACAAUUAUGAUUUAAAUCAGGAAGAGAAGACAAGUUCUUGGAAGGGAUGAUUCAUUAAGCUCAACUUCCUAUUAGUAGUCGGAUCGAGCAAACUUUGGACUUGGAUUGAAUAAUACGAUUCCUCUUAUCAUUAGUAUGAAUCCGCGACACGAUUAUGCACGCGGACUACCACUACUAGUUUCCCAAUUAAGGCUAGAAUAACCUCAACUAGGAUAACCAGUAAUGAACACCAAGAAAUUCUAUAAAGUGAUCAAGUGCUCUUUUAAGAAUUAAAGGAAAUCACAAGCAAUUGGAAUUAUUUUUAACUUGGUCCAUCAACACCUGAGCUACUGAUAACUACAUCCAACUUGGUCUAUUAGGUGCAAAUCAGAGCGCCCGCCAAUUAUCUGAUGAACAACCGUUAAAACCAAAAGACACGCGAAAGGUAGAAUAGAGUUGUUGGCUUACUCCACCAAUAACUUCCUUCUAUCUUAAAUUGUUAAUCAUAUGAAUUCCAGAGUCUAUCAAACAGAGGAUUUCAUAAAUUUGACCUAAUUCAAGUCAUAACAAGAACAAGGUUGAAAACCCAACAAUCAAAGCAAUCUUUCAUUCAAAUCAAAUUAUCCAACAAUCGUCGACCCUAUACUUUUAGAGAGAGUAUCAUAGCUCAAUUCUUACAUCCCAACCAAGAAACUCUAAAGAAUUAGCUAUUCAUGACUAUAGAAGAAGAGAAAAUAGACCUAACCAUCAUCUUGAUGAAGAGACAAUGAAUCAGACUUGCUCCAAUCUUCGCUUUUGAUCUUUUACCUUCAAUCAUAACUUCAAUCUUCAAUGGGGACUCUUUUGCAACAACCAAACCUCUUUUGCAACAAAAUUCGUCCGUUGCAAAUGAAAGUGGAGUCAUCUGUAACCGAUAAUAACCGCGGCAUAAAGAUUUAGUAUCUAUGGUGAAAGAAUAUUUUUUCUGUUGCCUAUAAUUGACCUUUCUACUACGAUUUUGUCAAGUAGGUAUUAGCAACUUUGAGAAUAAAUGUGGUUAUUAACAAUGGAAAGAUAGUUAUUUACAAAGUAUCGUGACAUAUCUUUUUCUUAUAAUGCCACCUCGCGCCUUCUAUCUACCUAGAAGACGGCUAUAAAAACAUUACACUUGAGUCUCCUAGCUAGUUUGCAUUCAGUGGGUGCCACUUAACAGCAGUUAAUACAUCCAUAUUUAGUCGGGCACCAGCUGCCCUCAAUUACGUCUUGACCAUUAAUAAAUCCUUCAAGCCUUCCAUGUUCCAACCUCCACGAACAACUACCACUCCCUACAUGAAGCAUUCAUCAUGACAGUGUAUGAUUUGGCAGUGUAUGAUUUCGCGGGCUCAUAUCAGUUCAUGAUUUGCUAUCGGUCCAUCUUUUUUGGGCUCCAUUUGGCAAGACUACAAACUGGACCUGACUUAUCCAAGAUAAUAAUAGAUCAUUGGGCUUAAUUAUUUGGCAAGUUUUGGGCUCUGCCUUAGCAAUUGUUCGUGGAGGAACAAUUAGCAGCCUUCAUCAUGCCGCACGACGGAGUAGAUUGAUAGUGUCGUGACGUGACUCACCAAUCCCAAUAUUUUAAAUCUCAAUCCUCCUAACCGAAUCUCAACGGCAUAUGCGUCACUUUCCUUUAUCCUAUCCUCUCUAUCACAAUCACAAAAAAACAAUUACACGACUAAACGACCCCAUCAGACGCCGUGUGGCGUCAUAACCUGCCACGUGUCAGAUUAUUCAGGCCGAUUUUGUUUUCUUUUUGAAUAUUCAGACCAAAUUAAUCUCUAAUCUAAUCUAGUAAUCGGCCCAACAUCUCAACAAGGCAAAAUAUAUAUAUUUCUUCCUCCUCGCCCCUCUUCCAGUCUUCCUCAUUCACUCGAUCACAGUUCUCCCUCACUCUUCUCAACGUGCUCACUCUCACUCCCUACCGUCGCCGAUCUCAAAGAAUCAACCCAUCGCUUCAACUUCAUUUCUUUCAAUGGCCAAGGAUCCCGUUCGCGUUCUCGUCACCGGGGCUGCAGGUAAGAAAUUAAUGAUCUUAAAUCUCCGCUAAACUGUCAAUCUUGAGCAUUGCAGUUUUUGAUCAGAUCUGUUGUUGAUCGUUUGGUAGAUUUUCGUUUUUAUGUAGUCUUUGGCGCAGUAGGCUCUCGUUAUAGCGUCAAGUUAACUUGAACUACUAUAUCUCUGUCUGAUAAGGUUGAUGAUCGGUCUGUAUUAAGUUUCAAAUUGCAGGAGCUGUGAUAUUCUUAUCGUUGAUUCUGUAUUAAUCAAAUUGAUUUUAAUAGAAAUGUUGUACAUAAUUGAUUCUCCUUCGAUUAAUGAACUGAAGUAGAUUUUGGUGUUAAGCGUGCCUUUGUUAAUUGAGAAAUGAACCUUUGAGUUUUCGUUUUGAUUAGCAAGUGGUAGAUCUGAUUUUGGACGCCGGAAUGCCUUGUUAAACGUGCAGGGCAAAUCGGAUAUGCUCUUGUUCCCAUGAUUGCUAGGGGAGUGAUGCUUGGUGCUGACCAACCAGUCAUCCUCCACAUGCUUGAUAUCCCACCUGCAGCUGAGGCUUUGAAUGGUGUCAAGAUGGAGUUGGUUGAUGCUGCGUUCCCUCUUCUUAAAGGUUUCUCCAGUUCUUUACUAGCUCUAUUUGGGAUUUCUGUUGGGUCAAAAUCAUAGGAUUUAUUACUUAUUAGUUUGUGGUCUGACUGGUUUUCAUUGUGCAGGUGUUGUGGCUACAACUGACGUUGUGGAGGCAUGCACUGGGGUCAAUAUUGCAGUUAUGGUUGGUGGUUUCCCUAGGAAAGAAGGUAUGGAGAGGAAGGAUGUGAUGUCUAAGAACGUCUCCAUCUACAAGUCCCAGGCUUCCGCCCUAGAGAAGCAUGCCGCUGCAAACUGCAAGGUGAGCUACUGUUUCUAGAUGCUCGUCUUGUUUUCUCCAAUUCCAUUUCGAUAUCAUGUGAUCUGUGCUAUUUCUGAAAUCAUCUUUACCAUUAGGAAGUCGAUUAAAUACUGUGAGGUACCGGCUAAGCAUUUGUUGGGCUGCUUUCACCUAUAUGCAGGUUCUGGUUGUUGCUAACCCAGCAAACACCAAUGCCUUGAUUCUCAAGGAAUUUGCACCAUCCAUCCCUGAACAGAACAUUACUUGCUUGACUAGACUGGACCAUAACAGGGCACUUGGUCAAGUCUCUGAGAGACUUAACGUUCCAGUUUCUGAUGUGAAAAACGUGAUUAUCUGGGGCAAUCACUCGUCAACUCAGUAUCCCGAUGUCAACCAUGCCACUGUUAAAACAUCAUCUGGUGAUAAGCCUGUCAGAGAGCUUGUUAAGGAUGACGUGUGGUAUAUAUCGCGUACCCACCUUGUGCUCUUUUUCUUUCCUUGAAUUUCUAGGCCAGGUUUUGAUGAUUAAGUGUUCUUCUGUUUAUGUAAGGCUGAACGCUGAGUUCAUCACAACCGUCCAACAACGUGGUGCUGCAAUCAUCAAGGCCAGGAAGCUCUCAAGUGCACUAUCUGCUGCUAGCUCAGCUUGCGACCACAUUCGUGACUGGGUUCUUGGAACUCCCCAGGUAUGAUUUGGCUUUGUUUGGUAGGAUCUCAAGUUGAAAUUCUGCUAUUUUCAGUUCCCUGAUGAAUGUUUCGGGUGGGACAUCCAGGGAACUUGGGUUUCAAUGGGUGUGUACUCUGAUGGUUCGUACAAUGUCCCUGCUGGACUUAUCUAUUCUUUCCCAGUGACAUGCCAGAAUGGAGAGUGGAAGAUUGUCCAGGGUAAGGAGGAUCCAUGGUACUACAACUAGUUGUAUUUCAUAUUUCCUAACUGAUAUAAUAAACUGAAAUGUGGCUCUUUGAUGGAAAUCCCCGACCAGGUCUUGCAAUUGAUGAAUUCUCAAGGAAGAAGCUGGAUCUGACAGCAGAGGAACUGAGCGAGGAGAAGGCUCUUGCUUACUCGUGUCUCAAUUAAAAUGGUGUCCCUGUAUGCAGCACCGAGUUGGCCGGCAGCAGUGAUGGGUUACAAUUUUUUGUUUGAAUAAGAAACUGAUUUUCGAUAGAGAUAAAUGCAAAACCGUGGGGAUUAUGGCUGGGGUAUGCUUUGAUCUGGUUUUGAUGUUUGCUGGUUGUUACCGUCUGGAGAUGGACUUUGUAAUUGGGAGAUUUGGACACCAACUGUUCGUUUUACCAGGAACUUGAUUUGGGAUCAUUAUACUGCUGGAUUUACAGUAGAACUUCUUUUUGUCCGAAACAAUACAGUAUAACUUCUGCUCAGUCAUUUUACCAGAAAACAUAAAUCAUGUUGAAGGAAAUUGUAUCAAUGAUCUCUUAUAAAGAAAAUUUAGAAAGCAAACUGUGCACCAAAACUUGGCGUUGAGGUGCAUUCUUUUCGUUUUUUUUUAACAAAAUUAAUAUGAUAUUUCUUAGCAUAUUUCCAUCCAUCUGAGGUGCAAUCUUCAUCCAUGAAAUUAUGGAUCACGUAACAAACACCUCAAUCCUUUUUUUCCAACAAACAGAUAAUUCAAAAGACAUUACCAUAUUAAAAGUAACCAGCAUAAUUUCUCAAAGGCAAAAGGCCUAGCAAAAGGGGAUGAGCCAUCCUUAGUUGGAUACAGUUAAGGGGGGUUAGAAUUUUAAUUGACUUGACGACACCUUAGUGCGGCUGACUGAUUUCCUGUGGUGGACCGGUUGUGAGUGAUGAUGAAGUCAACCCUUGAGGACUUUGAGAACCUUUCUUCGACUUUCGUUUUCAUUGGAUCCGACAAUAUAAGGUCGCAUCUAUGCCGCUCUUAGCUUCUGCCACGACUGCUUCAUCAUCGAGCAGUUGUGUACAAUGACAGGUGUCCCACGUGGAACUGUCGGGACUCGAUCCUUGUAGCUGGUUAACGCUGUUGUAGGGAUUGUCAGGUUUCUUCCUAUCGCGUGGGUUGAUUAUUUGUGAUCUCCUUCUCUUGGCUUCUUAAGAUCCUACUGACUAGUUGCUUUGGUUUGUGUUUUCUUCCACGUAGGCACCUUGAUUGAGUCAUCCCAUUAAAAAGCUAGUUGUUUUUCAGGGAAUUGGAGUCUCAACUGACACUUUUUCUUCACAUGCCACAUAAUUUCACACAUAUAGCCGAAAUUAGACAAACGUUCAUAUUUAUAUUUACAUAUGAUUUAUGUACCCUUAUGAAAUGUGACCAGACUUUUUUUUAGUAGAGAUACAUUGAUAUCCACUAUAACUCUCAGCCGCAUGUAUGUACUAAGAUAGGCGAUAUUGUUCUUCUCAUCAUACCCAAUAUAACGGCCCACAGAGCUCCCCAAUGCCUCUCCUACUACCUCCAAAAAAUAUCCAAAUGGCAGGUUGUGGAUUUGGAUCCACAUGUCGAUGGUUUGGAGAGGGACCUGGUUUGGGAUCUCUCCCAGUCGCAUCUCAUAUGUGAGCAGCAGAUGUUUAUCAAAAAACCAUAAACCAUGGUCGAAGACAAAGCGAACUUCGAUAUCUUGAGCAAACCGGAACAGGUAGCGGGGAUCGUCAAGCUGAUUGAUUCCGACACCUCGGAUCUAUUGCUAUGUGUUUGACAGACUUUUCUUCAUUGCAAGGAAGUUGAUCUCCUUUUUCAUGAGAAAAGCUCCUACCACGCAGAACUCAUAUUCUCAGAUCGGCGGUUGGCUGACAAUAUUAGUUAGGGAUAAUGAAGCUAACUCUGGGAUAAGUACUACUGGUUGGAGGGAUGGUGGAUUGGUUGGGGCCUUAGCUGGAACGGCAUCCUCUGCCGGCAUGUGCUCUUGUCUGACCAGGGUUGUUCCCAUGAUCGAUGAGGCCCAAUGAAUACAAGAAAACAUCAGAACAUCCGGAUUGUAAUGCCUUGACGAGAUAACUGGAAAGAGUAGGUAGUUGAAGGAUGAGUCUCGACUCUGGACUCAGCAGCCCAAAGGUUUAAUGAUGAACCGAAUUGGUUACUGGACGAUGCAAGUGACUCUUUAGUAGAUUUCGUUGCAAAAUUGAGCUUAGAUAAUUGUUCAAGCAGCUAAUUGUUCGUUAACAAUGUUCAUGUAUCCGCCAACCAGUGUUUUGUCUGUAAUGAUUGAUGUCCAUUCAUGUCAAAAAAGGAAAAUUAAUGUUCAUACUUUGGUGGGUUCCGUCCAAGAGGAGGCCGUCUCCGUCUUCCGGCCGCCAAAACAAAGUGGCCAAGUUGGUGAAAAGCCACUUGGCAUAGCUGCGACUACCACCACCGGCCACGUGCUAGUUGUCUCGUAGCAGCAACUUUGAAAUCUUUAUUCGGACAAAAUGGGCAAGCUGCUAAACGGUGUAUUGGAGUGCAUGAGGCGCAAGCUCAAUCAUCGUGUAACAAAUAAGUCAAAUAGCCGGUAAUCAACGUGACGCCUCUAUGUUGCGGUCGACAUAGUCCUAGUAGGGACGGAAUCAAGCUUGCUAGAUGCAUAUUCAAAUCAAGUGGAAUUAAUCUUCUUGUAACUAGUUACACCUUUCUUAAUCAAUCCCUUUCUCAGUGUAAAACCAUGACAUUCAAACUCUUCGACUAUCGUGAAUUAUUAUUUUGAUAUUUUGUUAUAUUUUAUCAUUUUGAAAAUAACCCGUUACAUGAUUCUUACAAUUGGUUUAUAUUACUCAAUACUUAUUAGUUACAAAAAUAAUCAGUUAUCGAACUCUAACAGGUUAUUGAACUCAAUACUUAUUAGUUACAAAAAUAAUCAGUUAUCGAACUCUAAUAGGUUAUUGAACUCUAUAAUCAGUUAUGUGACUGAUAAUUGCUUAUGCGAGCUAUAAUUAGUUAUGGAUAAAUAACUUUUUAUGGGUUGAUAAUCGGUUACAAGAGCUAUAACUAGUUAANNNNNNNNNNNNNNNNNNNNNNNNNNNNNNNNNNNNNNNNNNNNNNNNNNNNNNNNNNNNNNNNNNNNNNNNNNNNNNNNNNNNNNNNNNNNNNNNNNNNNNNNNNNNNNNNNNNNNNNNNNNNNNNUUUUUUUUUUUUUUUAUUAUCUAGCCAAACAUAAGGAAACGAAAGAAGAUUCAAAUCAAACUCCCAAAAUUUCAAUGUUUUGUUUUAGUAGUAAAAUAUCUCAAGUCAAGUCAUCAAUAAUAAUUUAUUAUUUGUGGAGGUUUCCUUAUCCGAAAGUGCUAAUGAUCUGAAAGGAUAAGUCUCUUGCUCAUACAGCGAUUUAAUGGUUCAAAAUUAGUUUAGCCAAUUUUAAUAUAAUGAUUGGAAUUUUAUUAGAGGUAUAACGGAAAUUUAAAAAAUUAGUUUCUCUCUUUCAACUUUUUUUUAUCCUUUUUUUACUCUUCUCACGUAAACUGGAUGUAAUAAUGACAUAACAACGAAAUGACAUAAUAUGGAUAUAACAAUUUACAUAUAACAAUGAUGUAAUAAUGAUGUAGUAUGAACAUAAUAAACAUGUAUAACAAACUCAUAAAUUGUAUAUAUCACCGACAUAAAAGAGUGGUAAACUAGACAUAACGAUGAUGAAUUCAACUAUUCGUAAGGUGGACGUAACGACGACAUAACGAGCUUAUAACAUGGUCGUAUUGACGGCAUAACAUGCUCAUACAAUGACCACACCUAUGUGAUUUUUUCCAAUUUUUUGUUUCGAAACUACCCCCAUUCAAGUCAAUUCAUUUAACUCAUCGUCAGCCGUUAGAUGAAAUUUGACUGAAAAGUCGCUUAAUCCAACGACUAAAAUCUGUCGGGACCAUCUUUCGGAACCAAUCUCUCGAAUCAUUAGUCUGGUUGCUCGUUAUCUUGUGUUAAUUUAAAGAGGCCCAUUAUCUUAAACUGCCCUCCUCACAAAUAUGCUGACAUAUUGAUGAUGGCACCUUAUGAUGAUUUUAUGAUCACACAUUUGGUAAUUUUAUGAACAAAAAUAAUAAAAGUUUACGCAAUCAUCUGAAUGGAUAAUUUGGGUAGAUAAUUUGAAGUGAUUUAUAUUUAAGUAUAUAUUUAGUUUCAAAUCUUAUUUAGAUUUUUAAAUCAGAAAAUAUUUGAAAUGAUUUUAUAAAACCACCUUGUAAGCUUGAACAAAAUGGUUGCUCGUUAUCUUGUGUUAAUUUAAAGAGGCCCAUUAUCUUAAACUGCCCUCCUCACAAAUAUGCUGACAUAUUGAUGAUGGCACCUUAUGAUGAUUUUAUGAUCACACAUUUGGUAAUUUUAUGAACAAAAAUAAUAAAAGUUUACGCAAUCAUCUGAAUGGAUAAUUUGGGUAGAUAAUUUGAAGUGAUUUAUAUUUAAGUAUAUAUUUAGUUUCAAAUCUUAUUUAGAUUUUUAAAUCAGAAAAUAUUUGAACCGCUCUUCCGAUCUCACCUUGUAAGCUUGAACAAAAUUAUGUAGGUGAUUUCACAUACUCAGAGGGGUAGAAAUAUCUGAGGGGUGAUUUGGAAAAUUUGACUUUUAUUUGAUGCCAUAAGAAAUUAAGGAUCAAGGUCCAUCAUACUAAUCCGAAUACAAAUUGGUCAGUUAAUCAANNNNNNNNNNNNNNNNNNNNNNNNNNNNNNNNNNNNNNNNNNNNNNNNNNNNNNNNNNNNNNNNNNNNNNNNNNNNUGGCAUAAUGUAAAAUUCGGUGUUUGAUUUGAUUUCGAUAAUUAUCGAAUUACCGGAAAAACUUUGUAAUUAAAAAGAAAGAACUAAUCAUAUCUCAAAUAAUUUCCAAUCAAUAUUUAUUUCGAUAUUUUUUUUGUUAUUUUCGGUAUUUUGUUGGUAUGUUUUGUGUUGAUUUGGUUUUUGGUAACCAAACAGCAAUACAUAGCGCUUGUUCAGCUGUUCGGUAAUUAUUGAUAUCGUACCGAAAUUUUCAGUAUUGGUAACAGUAAUUAUCGAAAAUAUUUUGGUUGGGAAGUGGAUCCCAAAUUGAUCUGAUUUUCAAUAUUCGGUAAUACCGUGCCGAUCUGAUACAAGUAUCUUGCAACUUUACAAAAUUGUGCUUAAUUCCCAGAACUGAAGAGGGUCAAAUUAAUCUCCUACUCUAUGAAAAUUGAUUCAGUGACUUUAUGUACUGGUAUGCCAAUUGCUCUGCCCCGUUAGUGUUCAUGGUAAUCCCUCAAUCUCCCCAGCUUGGACCAACAUAUCGUACCAAAAAUCCACAGAGUCGCCGAUUCCCGGAACAACCCCGCCGCCGGUACUCCCUUCCACAGUGCUCAGCUCCCAAAAGUCCGAGAAAUUAAUUUGGGUAUCAUCAAAUUGCAUAUUCACCCAUUCCUCCGUUUGCGAUGGAUCCGACCACAAGUCGUCGUCGAUGAUCGGGAAAUCAUCUAGCGACGUCGGCGAAGGUAACUCCACAUAAUUGCUCGUCUCCGCCGUGGCGAGGGAGUUGUCGGCGGUGACCGACGAAACUGCGGCGCCGCUGCUCGUACUGGUGCCGAAUGACAACUGAUCAGGCGACAGAGGCGCGUAACUCUGCUUCUGGGUUUCAGCAGAUUGCUGCUUCCCUUGGUUAUUAUUUUGAUUCAAUCUUUUCUUCAAAUGGGUGUGCCAAACAUUCUUGAUCUCGUUGUCUGUUCUCCCUGGUAAUUCCGCUGCAAUUGCUGACCACCUUUCAGAUUCAAAAAAAGAAGAAGCCAGAUUUAGCAAGCGAUUGGAUAGACUUUUAAACCCAUUUCGUCAAUUUCCAGAAACAUGAGAUGGAUGAAAGCGAUUAAGUACCUGUUUCCGAGAGAGUGAUGGAGGCGGAUAAUGAUGUCUUCUUCAUCCCUAGUGAAGUUGCCUCUCUUGAUAUUAGGGUUGAGGUAGUUGAUCCAUCGGAGACGGCAGCUCUUGCCACACCUCAAAAGGCCAGCAAGCUUAGGGAGAGCCCGCCAGUUUGGAUGGCCGUGGUUUUGAAUGUAGCAAGUGAGGAGUUGAUCUUCUUGAGGAGUCCAUGGACCUCUCUUCAGUCCCUUCUUCUCGCAGCAUGGAGCUCUCACCAUCCUUAACAAUUUCUUUCUUCUUCUUCUUCUUCUUCUAUCUGUGUGUCUAGUUAAUGGUUGAAGUAGUAAGCAAAAGAGAGAUUGAUUGGUGUAGAUGUCAAGUGCAUUUGGGAUGUUGAAUUAGACGAAUUUCAAGUAUUUAUAGAUGGGGUGGGAAAUAGAUGGUCAGCACCCACGAGUGGAUUUGGGUUGAAAAGUCUACCCAAACAAACGCAAUGAACAUCCCCACUUUUGUUUUAAAUUCAAAAUCAAAUGUGUCGGUUGUCUUCUUCCUAAAACCGUUCAACGUUGGCCCCUGUAGGGUAACUUCCACGAACCAAAUACUGCACUUCACAUUUGCUGCCUCCCAUCAUCUCCCCUCUGGCUUCUCAUACCCGGCCCAUUACAUUAUUUACUUGUACAAAUCUCGGAAAUAUCGAUAUUCUCAACAUUAAAAAUAUAAUAAAAUGUAAUAAAAAAUAUACCGAUAUUUUUAAAUACCAAAUAUAUUUAUUUUACAACUAGAUCAUUCUCUUUCCCGUUUCAUUAAAUAAUGGUUAUAAUGUCAGAUGAUGAUUCAUUGACAUGUGAAAAAAGCUUUGGUAUUGAACUAUAUGAUGUUUUCAAGUUUUGUUUGUAUAUAACCAAGUCUUCAAUUGGAAAUCAAGAAUAUUGCCAUGAUGAUCGAUUCACUUUGUAAUUGCCGGAAGGAGUACUAGUACUAAUUUUGGAAUUGCACUAGGCAUAAUGGUAGUAAAACGAUUGGAAUGCACGAUAUGCAACAAUACAUUCAAUUGUGUGUAAACAAUUCAUACCUCACGGUGGUUUGUUUUAUGAUUUUCAUAAUAAUAUUAUAUGUUAAAUNNNNNNNNNNNNNNNNNNNNNNNNNNNNNNNNNNNNNNNNNNNNNNNNNNNNNNNNNNNNNNNNNNNNNNNNNNNNNNNNNNNNNNNNNNNNNNNNNNNNNNNNNNNNNNNNNNNNNNNNNNNNNNNNNNNNNNNNNNNNNNNNNNNNNNNNNNNNNNNNNNNNNNNNNNNNNNNNNNNNNNNNNNNNNNNNNNNNNNNNNNNNNNNNNNNNNNNNNNNNNNNNNNNNNNNNNNNNNNNNNNNNNNNNNNNNNNNNNNNNNNNNNNNNNNNNNNNNNNNNNNNNNNNNNNNNNNNNNNNNNNNNNNNNNNNNNNNNNNNNNNNNNNNNNNNNNNNNNNNNNNNNNNNNNNNNNNNNNNNNNNNNNNNNNNNNNNNNNNNNNNNNNNNNNNNNNNNNNNNNNNNNNNNNNNNNNNNNNNNNNNNNNNNNNNNNNNNNNNNNNNNNNNNNNNNNNNNNNNNNNNNNNNNNNNNNNNNNNNNNNNNNNNNNNNNNNNNNNNNNNNNNNNNNNNNNNNNNNNNNNNNNNNNNNNNNNNNNNNNNNNNNNNNNNNNNNNNNNNNNNNNNNNNNNNNNNNNNNNNNNNNNNNNNNNNNNNNNNNNNNNNNNNNNNNNNNNNNNNNNNNNNNNNNNNNNNNNNNNNNNNNNNNNNNNNNNNNNNNNNNNNNNNNNNNNNNNNNNNNNNNNNNNNNNNNNNNNNNNNNNNNNNNNNNNNNNNNNNNNNNNNNNNNNNNNNNNNNNNNNNNNNNNNNNNNNNNNNNNNNNNNUAUUAGAAACUCUAAAGUUCUGGUCACUGGAAAAUUGCCGUUUUAUUUUUGUUAUGUGUUCUUAUUUUUAUUAUUCCGAGUUUUCAAGAGUUUCAUUUUUGUUAUUUUACGGGUAUAAAUAAAAGGAUUUAUGUGGUUACUUUUAGUUACAAAACAUAAUUUAUAGGUUGAAUUUUGCUCUAAGGGCAACAAUUUCCAUACUACUCAACACAAGUCAACUGUGUUGAUUUCCAUCUAUGAUGUAUGCUCUUGAUUCGUUCCUCUUUUUUUUUUUUUUAUUUUUUUUUUUUGUUUUUUUAUUAUGAUUUGAGUUUUUUGAUUGUAUGAUCUCGAAUAAUAUUGAUUCUUGUCAAAAUGUAUUAAUAUUGAUUAUUGUCAUUUGACAUAGCAAUAAAAUAAUUAAAAUAUUGAUUCGUGUCAAAAUGUAUUAAUUCAAAUCAAAGAAGUUUUAUCGCCAAUUAUAAUAAAACCAGAUAGCAUAACACAUUCAAACCGUAUCAGCCAAGUAUUUUAGCGCAUUGAGCGUAAAGGCCAAAUAAAGAAGAUGAGUUAAUUAGCGCGUGGGUUAGUAGAUAUGACAUAACCUUUGAUUUGAUCCCUUCAAAAGUAAAGCUCGCAAAGAAAUAAUUAAUAUUACGUGAAAAUAAUAAUACUGUCGGAAGCAGUUAUCUUACCUGGUAAUUAAAUUAAAUGAACAUCCGAAGUAGAGAUCUACACUCUUUGGGGGAAGCAUUCAUCAUCUUUAACUGAAAUUGCUGAAAUAUUCAAACUAAAAUUNNNNNNNNNNNNNNNNNNNNNNNNNNNNNNNNNNNNNNNNNNNNNNNNNNNNNNNNNNNNNNNNNNNNNNNNNNNNNNAUAAAAAAAAAAUAAAAAAAAAAAAUUAAGCAGCCCUGCCCGAACCCGAUUGCAAAUCGGUUGCCGGUGAAGAUCCGGCAAUAACUAAUUGACUGUAUAAACAUCUACUAUAAUUAAGCUUAACUAGUGUAAAAUGCACCGGAUGUCACCUAUGUUUGGCUUGCAGUGCAUAUUAAUCAUCGAUAAUUCAAUAUUUUAUCUGAACAAUUAAUACCACUUAAGUUUAACUUUAUUAUCACUGAUUAAUUUUUUCGUUUAUCAUCCUCGUCGAAGAAUUAAAUUUACGGCUCAAACCUUUUCAAACAAUGUUCAAACGAGGGUGUUUGAUUUUUUGUAAUGUCUAGAACAAGUUACAUUAAAUUAUCCAUAUAUGAAGAUUUAGUAAGAACUCUAAAAACUACGACUAUAGCUAAAGUUAAAGAUUGCAAAAAUCUAUUAUUUAUAAUUUUUAUAGGUAACUGUAUGAACAAACCGCUCCCUCAACCGCCUUGCCAACUGCUUUAUGACUAUGGCUAAAUUAGUUGCAGAGAAUGUAAGAUUUAUAUUUUUCAAAGGUAACUGUUUGGAGAGAUUAAAUUGUUUCCUCAUCGGCCUUGCCAACUGCUUUGGUGAUAGUUUUUACUGAUGACAUCCUCUGAUCACCAGGGGGGAGACGAUCCUCCUUAUUGAUGAUGAUGAUGAUUCGAAUUCGAUGACCUCCUCCUCUAAUGGGGUGUGUUGGUGAUCGGAAUCAAUCGACAAACACCCACGCUUUUUCUACCGUUCAACGAAACAUGCAGAAACAUAAAGACGGAAACAAAAGAGAAUACUUGAGUUUGGUAACACAGUUCGGUGACUAACCACCUACCGGUGGAGUUGGUGUAGGACUGGGAUGGGUAUUUGGCACUGAGAACAACGACAACAAUAAGAAGAGUAAUGUCACGUCUCACGAGUGAUUCCCUAAAGCACAGUUUAAUUUUGUAAGCCUCUUGUGUAUCUCUGAGAUAUGGAAUUAAUCUCUAAGUUAGUAGCUAGAGAGCCGUCAUAAUUAUUCCAGAUGUUAACUAAAACGUUUCUAAGCUGCUACUUUGCUUGUGAACAUUAAGUUCCUUUUGAUUUCAAGUAGGUCAGUCAAACUGUUAACAUAUUUACCUAAAUGACAAAAAUAAAUCGAAACAAAAUAUCAAAAUAAUAAAGUGGUGAGUUUGUAAAAAUAUUUUGAAGUUUGGGAUCAUAUUGGCACGUGUAAUUAACUUUUUUUUAUUAUAAAUAUGUGUAAUUAACUUUAAAUUACAUUUAUUUUCAACCGUCAAGAUCAAUUAGUUAAAAUGAGCGUUUACGAUGAAUCUACAUGAAAUGACUAACUCUACAUCCCAUUAAAUGUCCAACUGCCAGGCGCUUCACUGAAAACAUCAUGCACUUGUAACCCGAACAGCAAUGAGCUCUAUGACAUAGGGAUCAAUGUAGAUAAGUCGCCCAGUACCCUACGGCUCGACCAACGAUCCAUCAACAUUGAUCUUGAGAUGCAGAGGGUCGGGGGUGCCCAAACAAUCAAUAUCGCAGAAAGAAUAGCAGCUACCAGCGCCAAGGAGGACGAGGGAAGCAAAUCUGACUCUGAGACUUGGCAGAGGAACUGGCGAAGUAGCACAUGAGGUUGCAACUGGCGGAGCUCAAGAACAACCAAGCUCAGAGACUUCCAAAUGUCCCACAACGAAAGGAUAAAGCGGGGGGCCAUGGUCAGGCGAAGAGGACAUUAGGGACCUCCAGACCAUGGCAGGAUGUAAGGCGAAGGAAGGAGCAAAUAUUCUGGAGCCCGGCAAGAGCCGUAAGACGUAGCGCCAGUGGGCAUUCAAAGAGUAAGUGUUCAACUGACUCCUCUGCGAACAAGCAGACUGGACAGAAAGCAUCCACGUCAAUGUGCCUGUGACGGAGGGCCUGGCCAGCUAGAUCAUGGAUUUGUACACUUGAAUCUAGGAUUUUCUUCACAUUACUGCGAACUGCCAGAUUAUUUGUAUCAUACAUAGAGUUACAACACAUCAGUGGAUCACUCUCCGUAAGUUACAGUGCUACAAUUAUUAUUAUGUUGAUGAAUAUGCUACAAUUAUUUAACUUACACUGAAUUAUAGCUUUGUUCUUUUAGAUCAUGCGAGCCUUCAAGCAAUUACCUGAAGGGGUCAUAAGGGCUCAUCUUCAUCGUCGAAUUCUGCUUCACUUGAUGGCCUCAGUUUCUUUACAUCUCUAGGUCCUGCUGAUGUUCUUCCCUUCUUCGGCUUCCCCCUGACGAAAAGGAUUUACAGCAAUUCCAUAAGCUAUCAUUUCAUACUACUGAAAUGUGGAAAAUCUACAUAGAUAUUUCAGUUUCUAGCGAAGAUAAAGUAUUCUUAAAACUGAAAUAUACUUACUGCCCAUUUGUUGGCAAGCUUCCGCCUUUAGCCCUCCCAAAACCUACAUCAGUUCUUCCAUCUGUAACGAUUGGACAAAACAAAACUUCUCAGUUCAUUGGAGAUCAUAAAACGCCACUCAUCCAGUCUUUCCAAAUAGAUUCAAGUUGUAUCAAAUGGUCCUUUGACAUGCUUGGCUUAACUUGUUUCUUAUCAAUGAUCCAACAAUUGCAUGAAAGUUUUCUAGAUGGCAAGAAUAUCGUGAAAGAAAAAUUAAAACAUACCAUCACGGCCAACCCCAAUUUCCUCAGCCUGAAGAUCAAGAAAACAAGUUUUCAUAAGUAAUAUUGCAGAAGAAUUAAGAUAUUGCAAGUCUAAUAAUAGCUAUUCUCCGUGUGCCUUGUUUGGAAAUGUAGAAUGCACAUAAGGAAUUCGAACUUUCAUUACUGUAACCGUAGUGUAGGCUUUGAAAGCACUUGUAAGUGAUUCCCUGAAGUAUUUGAGAAUAUCCAUUCUCUGCAAUUCAAUCCAUAGGCCAUAGAUAUCCCAUUCCUAACAAUUGUAACUUGGGCACAACUUUAGUUCUUACUAGCAAUUUAAACUAAGCUGAGAAAAGCAUCAUGUGAGCUCCCAGCUGAGAUAUGCCGAGUGCAGUUAAUAACAACACAUGACAAUUGAGGACUUCAAAUUUCAAUGCAGCUAACAAGUCCAAUUAAAAAUACAGAGACCUCCCACUGAUUUGGAAAUCUAAAACUUACUGCUGGUGACGUAACUGACGACAACGAGAAGAGUCUGUCUUCUGGCAGAAGUUUCCUAGAUCUCUUUAAGCUGCAAAAUCCAUUAAAUUGGUGCAUUAGUCCAACCAAAAACACUGUAGAAAGUUGCAGUCCAGUCCAGUUCUACAUUAACUGCUACUUCCUAACCUUUCCAAAAGAUUGAUACAUAAAGGAAUUUAGCCUAGAGAACUCUUUGCACAGUAAACAACAUUAGCCAAACCCAUAAAGUAUUACUUGGAUGAAUUCUUUGAAGAAGACAGAAACCCCUCAAACCCUUUAAGCAUAUUCCCGAAAUGACUUGAAUCUUGCAAGUAGCUGGUUUCAUACUCGUACACCUGCAGGUCAAACAGCACAAAUUGCUAAAGCCCAGCUCCAUAAAAACAGGCCGAUAAAACAAAAAUCCAGGAAUCGGGACCUGUUUCUCGAUGCUUCGGAGCUCCUCCUGUAGCUUAUCUCGCUUUGCUACGAGGGAAGAGAGCAUGGCCGCAGGAUUCGGACCAGCUUUCUGCCCCGAAGGCAUAAUUUGAAUCGAGGAAUCCGGCGAAGGUACACUUCAGAUCCCCAAAAUGGCGGGGAAUUUGAAAUCUCGGAGACGAUAAGGUCAGACAAGAUUGAGAAGAGAUUAAUUUGGAAAAAAGAAUAUGCUUGUGGAGAAAUCUGCCAAGGCAAAUGAACCUUUUAAAUUGAUAAACAAUCUUUAGCAGGAAGGCGCGGCAAAGGUGAAGGAAUUUGGUGUUAUUUUUUCAAAAUUAAACCAUGGCUGCUUACUGUUCGUUGGGCUACGUCUGGGAAAGCGCAAUAAUGGAUGCGGGCAAGGCAACACAAGAUAACGUGUUAGCAUUUGUCGACAAAAAGUAGAAACAUACAACUUCAAAAGUAUUCCACGUGUAUACCCCACAGGAUGUGGAUGAGAUUUCAAAGUUGUUUAGCUAUUCUAACAAGAUGUUUAUAUUUACAUUAGCAAUUUUGUAGUUAAAGUCAUUAGAGCCACCUCUCAUUUUUAAUAACGGGUUGUUUGGAUGAAAUAUGUGGUACUUUAAGAUAAAAUGAUGGGUUACUUAAAAAUAUGAUAUUUGUAAAGUACAAAAUUUGUGGUAUUUGUUUGGUUAAUAAAUUAAUUUAAUAUAGUAUUUGGUAAACAAAAAUUAUUGGCGAAUUCAGGAUCGAAACAUAUACUAAGCUGGAUUUGAAUACAAAAUCUAUGCAUCAAGUAAGCAAUUUAUGAAUACAUUUUUCAAUAUAAUUCAAAGUUAAAAUACACAAAAAAAAAGACAAUCGUUGUGUUGUUUUUAGUUAAAGCAUUUUGUCAUUAAAGAUAGAAUGUGUCAUCGUNNNNNNNNNNNNNNNNNNNNNNNNNNNNNNNNNNNNNNNNNNNNNNNNNNNNNNNNNNNNNNNNNNNNNNNNNNNNNNNNNNNNNNNNNNNNNNNNNNNNNNNNNNNNUAAAUUAGACUACCACUGAGCCAAAAUAAUAUUUCCCUGAGCCGGAUCUAAACUCACCUUAAGCCGAACUCAAAAUAAUUGUAAAUAUAUAUCAAAAUUUAUGGCUCAGUGCCAAAAUUGCCCUAAGCCCUAGUUCUAUAUGGCACCCUACCAGAUCCACCAUUGACGAAAAUGCCAAAUACUUCAAAAUAUCGCUUCCAAUACAACAUAUGUUUGAGUUAUUUGAAAUAUCACAGUUAAAAAAUACUAACAUUGUUUUUUGUGUUAAUUUAUGAAGAAUAUAUGCAUCCUUGAUAAUUAAUAAAUGGAGUUACUCAACUUUAAUUAUAAAUUAUUAAAAAAGUCAAUUGUUAAAGUUGACAAUAUUCCAAUUAAAAAUUGUUAAACAAUUUUCGGAGUACACAUAAUUUUAGAUUGUUAAAGUUUUCCAAGUUAUAUUAAUCUCUCAAUUUUUAAAAUUGAGUUAAAUGUUUGAAAAAUCUAUUAUUUGUAACUUAGAUCAUUGAGGUUUUUAAAAUUAAUUAAACAUAUUUUUUAUUUUAUAUAGCGAAUAGUGUUAUUAUGAAUUUUUUUGGUAUAACACAUUUCAAAAAUAAGUUUAUAAGAGGGUGUUCAGGAGGUUAUAAAUUAAGUCGUUAAUUUUAUAUUUAGUGACCUGGUACGCGAGUAUGCACGUAAUGUACCAUCACGCUUUCAUGAUCGACGUCCACAACAAUCUAUUUUGGUUCCUAGGUUGCUCCUUCCUCAAGUAGCCCCCUCCACAAACGUAGGUCGGUGGUGCUUGAGGUAAACACUCAUACCAAUUAUUACAAUCUUUGGGUACAACUCAUCCCUUAAGAGGUUAUAAGCUUACUGGCUAAUUCCAUAUUUAAUUUUGUUGUACACAAUUAGAUAGGUAACACAUAAUUUUAAAAAAACAAUAUAAAAUCUAUCUUCGUAGAGACUUUUUAAUUAAUAUAAUAUAGAAAAUCAUAAAUUAAUAUUACAACAAUAAAAUAUAUUAAAUUCAGACUUAUAAAGUUUGGAUUAACAAUAAAUAACUCUACUAGUUACUUGAUAAAAUAAUCGUAUCCAACCAUUUGAGAUUGGAUUAAUUUAAAUAAAAUGCUAAAGUUAGUACUUGUCUCUUUUGUAAAGCUAAGCCUAGUACUUUAAUGAUAAAAACGUUAAUAAAAGUUGGUUGUAGUUGAUCCAUAUGUAUCGAAGAGGAAAGGAAAUGGAACCGAAGCAAAACAGAGUUGGAUUUUUGGUUUGUACAAGCCAACCCAAGAAGGCAAAGGUACAUAAUUUAUGCAGAGAAACGUCCUUAUCCAUUCAAGUAAACCCACUGUCCUGCAAUCUAACGCACACUAUCAUCUCCUCUCGUCUUUUUUUGAUUUUUCUCAUCAAUAAUUCUUGUCUUUUUCUAUUUACUUCUGGUGGCCGGGAACGGUGGAUCCGCACAAAAAUUUGAGAGAGAAUGAGAGAGAUCAGAGAUGGGGGCAAACUAGAAGCCUCCAUCAUCAUCCGCUAUCCUAUAAUCAUAAUAUUACACAGCAGCAGUAGAUAUUGACCUCCGUGACUGCGUCACAACCCACACUCCCAAUUCUCCAAGUAUCACUCAUUAUAUACGUCAGUUUUUAUUAGUCGAAGAAGCUGGAAAAGGCAAAAGCGGACUGGGAAAUAGUUGGAUUAUUUGCUGCACAAUCAACCUUAGAAAGGUAUGGGUUCAGUAUGGAAUCACUUCAUUUCUUCCAGGUCACGAAUUGCUCUUCAAUUUUCGAUUCCGGGGUUAUUGCCUUUUUUCGUUUUGACUCUCUGGAUAACAUUAUUAAUUCCUCCCUGGUGUUUUUGUCUUAUUAUUUCAGAUCUGACUUCUGGGUGGGUGCUUGGUGCGGAUAUUGCGUUUGGAAUUAUUAGUUCAACAGCUUUCUUUGAUUUGGUUUACUGGAGCCAGGUAAGGCGAGAGAGUUCUUGGUGCAUCAUAAUUGUUUCUUGUCGGCAACUGAUUAGAUUUCCAAAGUCAAAGAGCUUUUGAGUUGGGGUUCUUCUCAGUUCAGAAUUCAUUGAUCACCUUGUUUUGAUGGAGCUCUUUGGAGCUGAAGCUAUGGUGGUCAAGACCUGAAAUUUAGUCUUGAGAUCGAAGAUUUAGGAAUUUCGGGUGAAAUGGGUAGCAGUAGAACUAUUGUUUGGUUUAGGAGAGACCUUAGGAUUGAAGAUAAUCCAGCACUAGCAGCUGCUGCAAAAGAUGGUGCAGUGUUUCCUGUGUAUAUUUGGUGUCCUGAAGAGGAAGGGCAGUUUUAUCCGGGCCGGGUUUCGCGGUGGUGGUUGAAGCAGUCACUUGCUCACUUGGGGAAAUCCCUCAAAUCUCUUGGGGCGGAACUUGCCCUCAUCAAAACCCAUAGCACUUUUGAUGCUCUCCGUGAUUGUAUCAAUGCCAUUGGAGCAACCAGAGUGGUCUUCAAUCAUCUCUACGGUGUGUAUCGCUCUCUUUUACAUACUUGCCUUUGCAAGUGAUGGUCUUGCUUGAUGUCUCUCUAACAUUUGAUCGCUUCUCUUGCAUAGCUUUCAGCUUUCUAGGAGAAGUCAAAAUCUCACCUUUUUAUGCCUAGUCUAUAUAUCAUAUUGUUCACUAUUGUUUAUGUAGUCCAAUGGAGUUGAUUGCUUCUUUUAAUACCAUGUCUUGUAGUUGAUAAAAUGCUUAUCUUUAUUUGUCUCUCUUUAUGUCAGAUCCGGUAUCUCUUGUCCGUGAUCACAGUAUCAAAGACAAACUGGCAGGACAUGGAAUCUCUGUUCAAAGUUAUAAUGCAGAUUUGUUAUUUGAACCAUGGGAGAUAUAUGAUGAUCAAGGACAUGCUUUUACAACAUUCAAUCCAUAUUGGGAGAAGUGCUUGCAUAUGCAGAUGGAGCCUGUUUCACAUCUUCGUCCAUGGCGGUUGGUUCCUGCUACAGGUAGAUUUUCUGUCAAGUCUGUUUGCUUUGGAUCAAGUUGUUUUUUAUUAUGUGGAUAUUACAACCAGAUUCUUGUUUAGAUGGCUUUCCCUAGUACAAUGCAAACAACCUUUUUAUGAAGUCAUAUCUAUAAAAAAUGCUUGCUUUGCGAGUUCUUCAUACUGUUGUUUUGGUGUUUGUUCGUCAUACCAGGUACAAUUAAAACGAGUGUGGUGGAUGACCUGGGUCUGGAAGAUGAAUUGGAAAAGGCAAGCAAUUCCUUGUUAGGAAGAGCAUGGUCUCCAGGUUGGGGUAAUGCUGACAAAGCUUUAACGGAAUUUGUUGAACAACAUCUAGUUCACUAUUUAGAGAACAGACUUAAAGUUGGGGGGAACUCCACUUCACUCUUGUCCCCGUAUCUCCAUUUCGGAGAAAUGAGCGUUAGAAAAGUUUUUCAGAGUGUUCUAAUGAAGCAACUAGUGUGGGAGGAAGAACAAAACAUGAAAGGAAAAGAAAGUGUGGACCGGUUUCUUAGGUCGAUUGGUUUCAGAGAAUACUCCCGUUAUCUUUGUUUCAAUUUCCCCUUCACGCACGAGCGAUCAUUACUAGGACACUUGAAAUACUUCCCUUGGAAUGCCAACCAAGCCCAUUUCAAGUCCUGGAGACAAGGAAGAACUGGCUACCCUCUUGUUGAUGCCGGAAUGAGGGAGCUGUGGGCAACUGGUUGGAUGCACAAUAGAAUAAGAGUGAUCGCGUCGAGCUUUGCUGUCAAAGUUCUGCUCUUGCCAUGGAGAUGGGGGAUGAAGUAUUUCUGGGACACACUUUUGGACGCAGACCUAGAAAGUGACAUCCUUGGUUGGCAAUAUAUAUCGGGAAGCUUACCAGAUGGCCAUGAACUUGAACGUAUAGACAGUCCAGAGGUAUGAAAUAUUUAAGCUCUUCUCUUCAAGUAUGUCUUAUGUACUCUUGAAUUCGUGUCCAAAUUAUGCUAAGGUUAUUGGGUUAGCUGACUAAUCUAAGCAUAAGAUAAGAAUUAACAUUUACUUCAUUUUCAAAUGUAUGGUCAAUUUCUUUGAAAAGCAUGUGAAAAACUGUGAUGCUAUACAAGGGUAUUUGGUGAAUGCAUGAAUAUAGUGCCUUGUAUCUCUGCAUAUUGCAUUCAAGGGAUCUAGGAUGUUAAUUCAGUGCGGCAGGCAGUCGUAUAAGAUCAAAUGUAAUUGCAUAUUUGCAUUGCGAUGUGUGAAGUAGAUGUUUGUAGUUCUUGAUUGGUAAAAGAGAUACUAACUUAAGUUUGGAAUGCAUUACACUAUGAAUUAGAUCCAAGGUUCCAAAUUUGACCCAGAAGGUGAAUAUGUGAGACAAUGGUUGCCAGAAUUGGCUAGAAUGCCAACCGAAUGGAUUCAUCACCCAUGGGAUGCACCUGAGAUUGUGCUUAGAUCUGCUGGGGUUGAACUGGGGCUAAACUAUCCGAUGCCUAUAAUCGAUCUAGACAAAGCUAAAGAACUUCUGACUUCAUCCAUAUUCAAGAUGUGGGAAGCAGAAGCGGCUGCCAGGGCAUCAAGCUCAAGCGGGACAACUGAAGUAGUUGGUGAUAAUUCAGACAUUGCGGAUAUUGCAAGCAUCCCAAAGGUUAUCCUGAGGGAGAAAUCCAAAGUUGCUUGUCCUAGUAUUUCAUCUAAUGAUCAGAAGGUGCCAUCAUUUCACAGUAUGAAGAAGGAAUUAGUCAGUAAGAAGAGACCGAAAUGCAUGGAGGGGGAUAAGCUGCAACAUCGUAACGAUGGAGUAGGGACUUCAAGAGGAGACGUAGAAUUGUACUCGACUGCUGAAUCUUCUGCGGCUAAAAAGCAGGCAACAACGAGCAUAUGUUCAUUUUCUGUUCCACAGUAUAGUUCGUCGUCAGAAGGCAACAGCACAGCUCAGGAAUGCGAACAAUCAGAGGGAUGUCAAUUGCAAAUUGACUUGGCAAAAAGUCCAACCAAAGAUGGUAAGUGGUUUUUUUUCCUUUAUGAAUAUGGUAAGUAGUUUGGCUUCUUCACAUUUUAUUUUUUGUCCUAAAACAGUGGUUCUUUCUAUCAAACUUGUCUUGGGUUCCAACUUGCAGUUACCAUGGGAUCUUGAUGGGAUUCCGAGACUUGUGGGUGAUGAAGGAAAUAGACACAACAUCAUUAGACCAUGUCCAAACUCAGUCUGAAGCCAUUUGAAACAGUAACUGUGGGGAGGUGAUUGAGCAAAACUGGAAGCCUGAUAGUGUCUAUAGUCACAUGUAAGUUCUAUUUCAUGUCACGCGACUCGAAAAACUGUUCCACAUAUUGCACAUGUUUAUAGCUAGAGCAAUAAAAAGUAAAACCAUAUACCUUUUGGAGUCGUAGUCGUUUUCCCAUGAGUAAUGGAAUGUGGUUGGAAGUAGGCAACUGAUAGCCUGAUAAGUAUCGAGUUAAACAGUGUUUGAUUUACGUAAGAAUGGUAGCUUUGUUUGGAGGGAUAUGUGCUUGUGUUUUGAAUUUGGGCUCUGUAUUGUCGGCCUAAAGGUGUGAGUUAAGAUGAAUCAGGAUAUCUGUGACUUGCGAAGCAAAUAUAUGAAGUAUUGAUUGAUAUUUUUUUAUUGUAUACAAACCAAAAGCACCAUCAACAAUCUUCCCAAAAUUCUAUGUCUUUUAUAAAAUUCAGAGCCAACGAGGCUUGAACGAGAGUAUUUUCGAUUGCUCCUGGCGGUGCCGCUUCAAUGAAGCUUCUACGAUUGUUUUUUUGUUUUGAUAGAGAGAAAAAAGUAGUGGUGGUUGUGAGCAGAUUUUACCGUGAUAUCAAAAUCCCCCUUUUUCAUUUAUUAAUUGAAAAAUUGAUUGUAUUAGGAACAAUUCAUCCCAUUUACCUUUUUCAAAUUUCAAUUAUUGGAUCAGUCCUUUAAAAUUUAUUGGUUACAAAAAAUAUCAUAACCAUUAGGACACAUGAUAUUAGAUCUGAGCUUUAUGUACAUGAGUACAAUACAGGGGUAGGGAGUAUCGUGGCUGACAACCAACGACAACAAAGUCCUUUAGUAUAAUUUACUUUAUGUUCGUAAACACGUCUAAACAUAUAUAUAUGGCAUGAUUAAUAUAAUUAUUUUUUUUUAGAAAAUUGAUCUAUAAUCUUGUAUGGUAUUGUUAAUGAAAUUAUUAAUUUAGCAAUCUUAUUAAUUAAUAAAUAAUUUUUCAAUUUUUGUAAUUGCUAAGUAGAGUGUCACAUCACCCUCUACUUUAAAAUUUAAGGAUGAAAAAACUCUUAGGCUAACUUUAGCCCUUUGGCUGGGCAAAAUCUAUUUUAGCCAUUUAGCCUUUUUAAAAAUACAAAUUGCUACAACCAUGAGACUAGCCAAAUUUAAUAAGUUUCAUUAAUUUUUUAUUUGGUUUUGAUCGAUAUAACUCUUCGGCAUGUAAUUUAAAGUUAUGUACUUCAAUUUUUAUAUAGUUUUUCAUGAUAAUUCGAUAUAAAUAUUUAAAAUUUGAGCCAUUUCAAUUUUGGGUUGAAGACUAAAUUAGCUGGGCAAAUUUAACAUUUUACAUGUUAGCAUCAAAGCUGAAAUUAACUUUAUCUCGACAAGGAGCUAUCUACACAAAAAAUAUAUUAUUUUAAUCGAGAAGAAUUCUUUUAUAUUCCAAUAACCUAUUUACGUUGCAGAAGAAAGAUACACUAUAAUAUAAGCCCAAACGGAGGCCCAUCUGACUGUUGUCAUUGGGCCAGCUGCCUAGUCCCUAAUGAGUUUGUAGUUGGUCCGUGUUGGUUUGGACUAGUGUUGUAUUCAAAUUACAUAUGGUCAGUGGUCACAAAGAAAUUCAAAGGUCUUUCGAAAGAAAAUAGAAUUCAGAGGUAACCGGAACACUGUCAAGUCAACAACUUUAUUUAAAAGUUAGAUUAGUAUUUUUUUUAAACCAUUUUUUGAUUCAUUGGAUUUUCUUUUCUGAAUCAAAAUUUCGGUGAUCGGAAAAAUUGUUUCCCAUCAGUGAUUCCGGCAAUGUCAUGUUUGUUUUUUUGAGAACGGUACACGUUUUGCAAACGAGUACAAGCAUUGUCGGCAGUCGGCGGUUACAGAUCACCGACAACGUCGACCAACGGCUAACAUUACUAUAGACCGACAUAUUAAUAUAGCCUAGUAAACAUAUCACCAUCGGAGGUUCCAAAACAGUUGAUCGCCCUAAGUUGGAUUAUAUAGAAGUUGAAAUGCACUUAGCCACAUACGAGAAAUAUAUUGAUUUAUUUUAAAAUAUAAUGAUAGAAACCCUUGAAGAGCUGCAAGAGCCACACUAAUUGAGAUUUCCUUUCCCCGCGUCGCAAACUAUACUGAUGGUUGGUUGGAGAAUAAUCAUAGAAACCAUGAAAGAGCUUUAAUUCAGCAUUUAAAAAUAUUUUAUGGAAAAGAAAGUAUUACUGACUGGAACACGUUAUGAAGAAUGGACGUACAGAGUACUCCCAGCAAUCUCGCCCCUAACCGACCCAAAUCACCUCUUCCAGUUAUUUACUUUGUUGUAUAUGGCCACACAUUUCAUACGGGGAGACCAGCCGACCACAUGCAACGUUUUGAUUUUCUGUCUUUGGUAUGUUGUCCGGAUGCUGGAAUUUCCACGUCCACGUACCCCCCAAACUUGCCAUGUUCUGAUGACUCUUUGCUUCCUCCAUAAGUCAUGAAAAGCUGAGCCUCAUAUCUCUCAUUCUGAUUCUUGGUCUGCUUCGCUUCCACCGUAUCAUCAGAAAGCAACAUGCUAAAUUUAUUGUACGGUGCAUACAAAGUACAUACAUGCUAAAUUUGAACACAUGACCGCAGACGGAUAUACCAACUCAUCACCAUCAUCUUAUCAUCGUAAAUCACAAAAUAUUCCGACCAAUCAAAGAAGUAUAAUGACCUUGAUGUCGAGCAAAAAAUCACAAAAGAUGAGAGUAUUGUGCAUAGCAUUAUAGUUAUCGUCAAGUUGCUUUAGGUAGAUAAGGUCCCUGAACAGCUUCCACCUUUUGGAAUCUGCCCCGUCGGAGCUGCACUUUUUUUAACGAUCUUCGGUGAGUACUCUUCCCUUUUAGGGUUCCACACGAGGUCAACUUUCAAUUCGUCAUCUUCCCACAAACAAAAUUCAGAGGGAGAGUCGUUGAAGAACUCUUGGACGACUCAGACGAUGAUGUCGAUCAGGGUAUCGUCGGAGGAGUAGGACGUGUAUUAUAAGUUGAAGCAUGGAGAAAUUGGGGUGUAUGUGACACUUUUUUUUACCCCUACAUCAUUUCUGAGCCAUCAGAUUAAAUUACUAGAUUUGAAUGGCUUAAAUUAAUCCUUGAAGUUUUCUCAAUUAGGUUAUGUUUGACUAUUUGACCUCCUAAUGGAUAACUUGCUACAAGGGGGUAAAAAACAAAAUGGACACUUUGGAUUCCAACUUACAUAAAGUUAGUUACGUGUACUAGGGUGUUGAUUAAGAGUUGUUAAAAAGUUUAAAGAUACAAGUUAGGUAAAGGUAAACCUAAUUAUUACACACAACCCCCAAACAAAAUCUGCUAUGUAACUUUAUAUAAAUUAUUAUAAGACAUUCCGAUACAUAUGUGUAUACGGUACAUUCAACACCUAAAACAUUCAUUAUCAAAAUUUAAAACCAAAACAACAAAACCUAAACACCUCACAUGCGACCCUGAUAACUAAAGAAUGAUGUUAAACCCCUAAGCACUAUAUUCUAACCCUACAAAAAUAAAUCAUAAAACCAGUUUCUUAAUCAUACUGCAAANNNNNNNNNNNNNNNNNNNNNNNNNNNNNNNNNNNNNNNNNNNNNNNNNNNNNNNNNNNNNNNNNNNNNNNNNNNNNNNNNNNNNNNNNNNNNNNNNNNNNNNNNNNNNNNNNNNNNNNNNNNNNNNNNNNNNNNNNNNNNNNNNNNNNNNNNAAUUUUUUAUCAUAUAAUUAUAUAUAUACUACCAAGCAAAUCUACAAAACCUAACUAAUUAACUUCACCUCCAUCGUUAAAAAUAAGAACGUUGAUUUUGGAUUUAAGCGUGGAUGAUGUGGAAUAACACAAUACAUUUUCGAUAUCCAAGCAUUUGUGAAUAGUUUAUUUGGGCCCAGUGUAGGGUCUGAAGUCCGAAGGGUUUCCAAGGUGACGGAAUAUAUUUUUCCGGUCAAUAGAAAAUACAAAGCAAAAUAAAUUUUAUAAUGAUGUUCAGUUCAUAAUGUGUAUUGGAUUCAAAUUCAAAAUUUUAACCAAAUGUGAUUAAAACAUAAGAAAAAUAUAAAUUAAUAUUAUUUUGAUGAAAACAUAAGAAAAACAUAAAUUAAUAUUAUUUUGAAAAAAAAUCUAGAAAGGAUAUUUAGGUGAAACAUCAGCUUUUAUUAUAAUAUAGUUUGCUUUACUAAACUAAGUAAAUUAAAAUAUGUUGUUGUAUAUGGUAGAGAUUUCGAUGCAUUAAUGCACUGAGUAUACACGCUACGUGAGAUUUGUUCAUUAGCCGGCUAUUAAAAUAUUAAAAUAUGAUCGGCCAACACCCAAAUUUAGCCCAAAUCACAAUUAGGUCACUAAUUAAAUAAAAUUUUUGGAUAAAGUUUCUCCAUCCACUUUAAUAGAUUGUUUGCCACCUCCCACCAGUGAAUGAAUCUACCUCCCACCAGUGAAUGAAUCUGGGUUGGUUGGUUUUUCAAACCGAUUUUUAUAUGCUCCUAACAAAUCAGUCAAUGGAAAAACUAAAUUAUGGUUACUGAUUCAGGGGAGAGGGAAAGGAGGUCAAUUCUUGUUCGUCGACUGAUAGGGCAACCAUCGCCGAAAUUAAUGACGAAUAGAGGUCAACAGGUGAAGUAGGGGCCGCCUGAGGUAACCGUUCGUCCUCCGCUCCUCGCUUUGAUUCUGCAAUCGAUCUUUUUAUCUCUUCGUGGACAGAGAAAGAGUGUAUGAGAGAGCUGGAGUUUCUUCGAGGAGAGUAGCAGUAAGGUGGUGACGGAGGAAGUCCAAUAGUCAAAGAAGGAAAAAUGAUAUUGAGAGUUGUGAUGGGGCUGAAGGAACCCGAUGUCCGUUCUUGGUCUUCCAUGGAGUUGGAGAAGACGAUUUUCGGAAUAUUAGAUGGGGUUUUAAAAAAAAUAAUUAAUUAAUUGAGUUUAGGGUUGGGAAAAUGAAAAUGUUUAAAAUUAUUAAUGAUGGUCAUAAAGAUAAUUACUCAAUAUUGAAGUGUCCAACCUUAAUAUUUGGACCAUUAAAUUAAUAGUAGACAAUUAUGCGUUGCCAUGUGUAUGUAUACCCGGUACAUUAAUGCAACGGAAUCCUUUUGUGUUGUAUAUAUUGUAACAUUAAAUUAGGUGAUUGAUUAUAAAAUUUAUGUUCUCUAAAUUUAUUAAGAUUAAAUUUUAUAAUUAAAUUAUAAACAUUUAUAUAAUUGAUAUUAUUUUGAAAAAAAAAUGAUAUUCUAGAAAGGAUAUUUAGGUGAAACCGGUAACUGUCACAUGUAUGUACCCUACCUGUACUAGCUGCCGCUGCUUCACUCCUUGUGUACGUCUCCACUGAAAGGACCGUACCAGUACGGAUCCUCUCCAACUUUGACAAGUAAGACAGUUUCUCCCACUCCCACUUUUUUCCCAUCCAACGGCUCGCUAUGCUUACAUCCAUUCACAGCCGUUAAAUCUAACACGCGUCCUCAUCAGUCUACCACCCCAUGGAUUUCGAAUAUUCCGAAAACAUCCCGUUCUCCAGUUCCAACCGCUUAUCUCGCUUUCACUUUACCGUAAAUCAAACUCUCCUUUUUAUCUUUGGAUUGCAAAAUUAAUUAAAUUACGGAUAUGUUGAGGAAAAUAUAAUGUAAGGGGACCAAAAUACCCCUGCUUUAUUUCCUUUCUUUAUAUAUUUACCAACGACGUCCGGAAACCGGCAGCCAGUUGUAUAGCAGAGAGUGAAGUAACUCAAAGUAAUGAGCGAAGCAUUGGGAAGAGACUACCAAAUCUGCGACGAGAUCGGCCGGGGACGCUUCGGAACCGUAUUCAAGUGCGAUUCCCGCUCCACUGGCGAAUCCUUCGCCGUCAAAUCCAUCGAUAAAUCCCUCACCGCCGGCGAAUCCCUGCACCCACAGGAUCCCUCACCGCCGGCGAUUCCCUGGACGCCCAGUGCCUCUUGACGGAGCCCAAGAUUCUGAGCCUCCUCUCCCCUCACCCAAACCUAAUUCAGCUCCACCGCACCUACGAGGACGAUUCCCAUCUCCACAUGGUAAUGGAUCUCUGUCCCAAUUCCGAUCUCCACACCCUAAUCGUCGCCAACGGCGGCGCACUCCCGGAGGCGGAAGCCAGGUCGAUCUUCGCCCAAUUGAUGUCUGCGAUCUCGCACUGCCAUUGGAACGGCGUGGUCCACAGGGAUGUGAAGCCGGACAAUGUUCUUUUCGAUUCUUGGAAUUCCGUGAAAUUGGCCGACUUCGGUUCGGCGGAGGUGGUGGCGACGACGGAGGAGGCGGCGGUGACGGGAGUCGUCGGGACGCCGUAUUACGUGGCGCCGGAGGUUCUGUUGGGGAGGGAGUACGGUGAGAAAGUGGACGUGUGGAGCGCAGGGGUGGUUCUGUACAUAAUGCUCGCCGGUUUUCCUCCGUUUUACGGGGAGACGGCGGUGGAGAUCUUCGACGCGGUGUUGAGAGGGAAUCUGAGGUUUCCGACUAGGGUUUUCCAGUCGGUGUCUCCCGGUGCGAAGGAUCUGGUGAGGAGGAUGCUGUGUAAAGAUGUGUCGAGAAGAUUCUCUGCUGAGCAAGUGCUUAGUAAGUUUUGCAAACUCUGUUUUUGAUUCUUUAUUUUAUAUAUUCUCAAAAUCAUGUUGAGGAUGGAGUUUGAUUGAUGCGUACUAUGUGUUGGUUGUUGCAGGGCAUCCAUGGGUGAAAAGUGGUGGUGGAACCACCUGAAGGAGCUGGAUUGACUGCUUUGAUGUAGAUAAGGAUGAAUCAAACUGGAAGAGGAGCCUUUUGUGAUGUAUCUGCUAUAAGUUUGGGUUUGGUAAUUAAACAGAGAGAAGAAGCAACUUUUAUUCUGCUUUUCUCAUUUCUGGGUUUUGAUUUCGUGAGCCACUAGUAGCAGUAGUAGUAGUAAUAGAGAGAGAGAUACGGCCUGCCUCCACUGAUCACUGGUGUUGUUAUAGAGGGGGUGCAAGUGGAGAAGAAGCUGCUGCUGAUGAACUACUUUUUAGUGUAUGUACUACGAAUAUAUAAUAUGGCCCGCCUGUAUAAUACAAGUAGUAAAAUUGCAUAAAGCUUUUGUUUUUAUGAAUUUCGUCCUUCAACCCAUAUGGUGGUGAAUGAAUGCUUAUUAUUUGGGACGUUUCAUGUUAUCCAAUUCCAAUAUGUUAAUGGAAAAUUGUUUCCCAAUAUGCUUGGAUCUUCGAUUUUGCAGCUCUGCUUUGAUUCAGUUUUAGCUAUAGAUAUAACGGUUUACAGAAACCGUAUAGUUUUUGAGAUGUCGUCGGCAUUGAUUCUGUUGCCAUUUGCUGUUUUGUUCUUGUUGAUAUGGGAUAAUCUUAAACAAAUAGAAAGAAAGAAUUCAUUGUCAUCCGUUUUGGACUCAAUUGGAUUUUUGAUUGAUUGAUUUGAGUGAUAUUAUUAACAAAGAUAUCAGUGUUGAUUCUGCCGCUACUGUAACUAAUUAACCGUUUUAAAACUAAACAUGAUUGAUUGGGUUGGUUCUCAUUUUUAAAUACUAAAUAGUAAUCAAUCUUCCGUCAUAAGAAAUAUUAUAGUAAUCAACAAAAUUCACAAUCUAAAGAGUGCUUCCUUCCAACAAUCCGUAUAGACAAUCCAGAACCAUUAAUCAACUUGUUUCCCGUUGGUUGAUUUGUUCUUAAUCUUACUUUGUUGAACAAAUAGACUCGCUGAUGUUGAAUUUCCUCAACACUUUGGUCUUUGGCGCCGAGUCCUUCCAGAUCCAAACUUAUUCUUCCACCAAACCCCCAAAUGGAACUUUCUAGCGUUAACCUUAACCCACCGAAUACGAUUUAUUUUACAAGAUAUCAAUUUUAUAAUUGAAGGGUUGGAAUCUUCCACAAUGAAGAAGGUCAAGAAGACUUGCAAGAUCAGGACAUGUGGAUGAUCAGCAAAUUGAGGGACUCCAAUGGUUCAAGCCAAGCCACAGUAAACAAAUGUGAAAGACCCAAUAGAGAUGCAAAAAAUACUAUAAAACUGUGGAGCUUUGGAUGUUGCACAAGGAAGAAGAUAUUUCUUGAAAGAGCAAUUGUAUAUAUAUGGAUGGAUAUACAGAGUACUCUAGUAGAGAGUUAUUGGGUAGUUAAGUGAGACCGUGGGGGGUUGUCAUCUGCAUAAACUUAACCUACAUCACUGUUACUCUCCUCAUCUUCAGUUAUCCCCUCCACGAUAAGGUACUGAAGCAUUAUCGAGUAUUUUGCAGUCCGCCUCCUCCCUGGAUUUCUCCCGCUCGUUGACACUCCACUGCUUGUAAGAAGAAACGAUCCUUUGCCGUCAGCUUCAAGAGGACAAACACCCACAUCAUCAGCUUUUAUAUAGCAUACACAUUUUAUGAUUAAUCAAGCGAGGAACAAAAAGACUAUACCUUUAACGGUUAAGAAACAUGAUAUCCAACGUUUGUAGAUGAAGAGCAAUCUUGGAGAUUCUCCAUGGUGCGUAUCAGAGAGCAAAAACUCACAUUUCCCCUUCUCACUAUCAUCCAUCCCAUUCAUAAAAAUCCAAGUUAGUAAACAACAUAUAUACCUAGACAUUCAAGAAGAGUAUCUAUCCAACAGCUGCAAACUUCACUAACUUAGCAUGUCCUACUGCGUUGUGGCACAGAGCCAAUAUCCGAACCAUUUCCAAGUCUCUUCCCCGAGGAUUGUUGUAUCUCUCUUUGCAAACCCUUUCAGAAGAACAACAACUCAAGCAAUCGUUAGUUGCUUGAGGAAAACAGGGAUUCAAGCAGGGAGGAAAAAUUACUGUGAUUUGUUUUCACCUUUCAUCAAAGAAACCUCCAAAGUCAUCAAUAACGACAGCAGCAGGAAAUGUGUCGAGCAGGUGGAAUGCAGCCAUGUACUUCUUAAUUCCUUGAUCAUCUUCCACAUACCUUUUUGGCGGAGGAAUACAUUAAGACAAAAACAAACAGCAAAGACUAUGUUAAAAGAGUGAACGGUGCUUACUUACUUCAUUUGAAUUCGUUCAAAUACAUCGGAAGAAGGAUCCACGCCCUACGAAUUUCAAAAUUAUCAUGAACAGAUGAGAAACACAGCCCACUAAUAGUAGUAAACCAUAAAUUGGUUAUGAAAAUGGGGGGAAGAUGAAAGUACUUGAGAUAGAUAAGGAGGGUUGGCUUCCAUACGGUGGCGGCUGCAAAUGAAGACCACUUUGCGGUUUCUAUUCAAGGCGGUGUUGAUUGCAUACUGGAAGAGUAGAGAUGUUUUCCCGCUGCCAUUGAUUCUCUGGUGAAUUUCUUUCUCUACUGGGAAUUAGGAAAAAACAGAAGCAGAGAGAGGGGUGUAUGGGAAAUGCUUACGAGGUUGGAGGCCCAGAAAGAAGAGUAAUCGGAUUGCUGCUGCAAUGUCUUCCUGUUUCCACUGGCUUUCCACCGGGAAGGAACAUCUCCAUCUUUUCCGUAAGGGAUCGGAGUUCACCCAGUCGGUUUUAGGUUGAAGAUGACAGCAAGAUGUAAGGAAAUAACUGUUCAAGUUGCAAACAACCAAUUUCCCAGUUACUAGCCGUUUAAAUGGGUUGGGCUAAUUUAGAGUAUUGGGCUUAUUUGAGUGCUACCUUCAUACUGUCCUGAUUGAGAUUCAACUUCAGCCCACAGCCACAUCUCAACUGUUGAGGUUUGAUUAUUUCUGUAAUCAAUUGCUUGCUUAUCGUGUUUUAUUAUUUUGUUUUACCAUCUUUUCCAAAGAAAUAAGUAUCCCAUAGCCAUUAAGAAUAGGGCUUUAAAUUGGUGGGUAGUUAAUCCUAUCACAAUUUGCGGUUUAUGACUAAUAAUGGCGGAAAUUUAAGAUUAAGACAUACAUUAAGUCGAAUUUAAAUCCAAAUUUAUGUAUUAAGUAAUUAAUUUAUGAACAUAUAUUUUUUAUCAUAAAGUUAAAAUAUUAAAAAACACAUUCACUAAGUUAUUUUUAGUUAAAACAAGUUAUUUUAAAAGAUCGAUUUGCCACCGGCAAUUUUUUCCCUAAUUAAGUAAUAGUAAAUGCAAGUACUCAGCCAAAGUGAUGAUGAAUAUGUAUCGAUUACUAAAUCGAAAUAACAAAACAUUAAGUCGGACUAAAAUUGUCCUGAGCCGAACUCAAAAAAAUUGUAAAUAUAUAACAUAAAUUUACAAAUUACGGCUGGAAUUGCUCUCAACCGUAACUUCCCGGGCUCCCCUUUCUAUCCGCCCAUGAUGACUAACAACUAACCGCACCUCCAGUUUGCAAUAGCUACUUUUUUCGUAACGAGAAAAAAAUAACACGGAAUAUGAAUUACAAAAUAAUAAAAUACAGAAUCUUAGCAACUUCAUAAAUUUUAACAUGACACACAUAGAAGAUAAAGAAUGCACCUUCACAAUCCAAUCCAAAUCAAAAACUUCCACAAAGAUUCAACUUCACAAACAAAGAAGACAACCACUAUCAAAGAUUCUAUUUCGGCUACGUACACAUCAUCAUUAUUAUUAUCUGGUAAUUCUUUUGAAAUACGUUUGAAAAUAUGAACUAGUCACGGGAAUGAACCCGAGAGGCAAGUUGAUUGAGUGAGUCACUACUCUUGUUCAGGAAUCACAGCCCCGCCUUUGGCCGCUGCUUCCUCGGAGCUCUCCUCCUCGUCAUUUUCUCCGGUCAAAGCCUCCAACGACUUACCAUUCGGUUCCGGCACCAACAACGUAAACACCAUCCCGAGGAAAUUAAUACACCCCAACGCUAUCAACGAAUUCUUCACCCCAAUCCCUGGGCUAUACCCCUUAUCCACCUUCGUCGGAUCCUGCGACUGAGCCGCGUACAAAAACCCAAACGCACCCACUAUCGCCCCUGCCUUCCCCGCCGCCGCCGAUAUCCCGUGGCAAGUCGACCUCAAUCUCGCCGGGAAUAUCUCCGCCGGCACCACAAACGUCGUCGCAUUCGGCCCGAAAUUCGCGAAGAAGAAAGUCAACGAGUACAUCACCACAAACCCGAGCCGGUUGGGCUUCAAAGUCCAGUGGUGGUACGGAAUCGCCAGGGCGAACAUGAACACCGUCAUGAAGAAGAACCCCAUCAUCUGAAUCGCGAACCUCCCAAUCACGUCGAUAAACAGCACCGUGAACCAGUACCCUGGAACCGUACUGCACAGCGCUAUCAAAGUCUGGGCCCUAGCAAUCCGAUAGACCUCGUGAAUUGCGUUCAUGGUGUUUGCCGGCGGGAUCCAAUUGAUGGCGGUGAAGAUAUCCUUCUGGAAUAGGUUCUGGCUGUAGAAGGCGAUGUCGAGCAAGAACCACGUGGAUGUAGUCCCCAAUAGGUGGAGCCCAUGCCUUUUGAGGAACUCACGCGAGAAUAGCCCGAAUUUGUUAGCGGAAUUCUCGGCCAUACCUUUUACCUUCUCUUCCUCUGCUUCCAGAUCCACGUUCAGCACCUUCGACAUGUCCUGCGCGGCCUGUUUGGCGUUCUUCGCCACCAACGCGGUGUACCGGGCAGUCUCCGGCAUCUUCAUCCGCCAGUAGUAAGUCACGCCGGCGGGAAUUGCGCCGAACAUCAGAAUUAUCCGCCACACGUAGUCCGCCUGGGGAGCUAGGGAGGCAGCUCUGUCAGUCGCGUAGGAAGGAGCGCUGAAUCUGUGGUCGAACGCCGAGGAGACGACCAAGGCGACGAUUCCUCCGCCCAAGAUUCCGAACCCUUGCAUCGCGAACACGGCGGCGAUGAAGGCUCCCCUUGUCUUCUUGUUGGCGUACUCGGACAUGAUGGUCGCCGAGAGAGGGUAAUCGCCGCCGAUUCCGAAGCCGAGCCAGAACCGGAAGAAGCAGAGUGUGGCGAUUACCGAUGAAGGGUCGUGGCUGAAGGAGAGUCCCGAUGCUAAGGAGCAGACCACCAUGAGUAUGAGCGUGAUUCCGUACACUUUCUUGCGGCCGAGCUUGUCUCCCAGCCAGCCGAAGAAGAGCUGGCCGGCUAAGGUGCCGCAGAGUGCGACGCCGUUGACGGCUGCGGCGACGUUGGGAGGUAGAGAGCCUGGUUUGGGCAGACUAGUGUCGGUGUAGUAAAUUCGGCCGAGCAAUUUGCUGACGAGGGAGAUGCAGAAGAGGUCGUAUGCGUCGGUGAAGAAUCCCAUUCCUGCGAUGACGAUCGCGGUGAAAUGGUAGAGCUGGGUUUUAGCGACGUCGAGUGCUGUGAGCACUCCCAGUUGCUCUCUCGCCAUGACUGCCUGCAGCUAAUUAAUCAACUCCACGUACGUGCCCUCUGUUUCUUUUUUUCUCUAUAUUAACGUACAAUUGAUCAGAGAUUUGAGUAUAGUCUGUAUAAUAUCAGUAAAUGACUAUUGGAUUAAGACGUGUUCAAUAUAUAUAAAGAGAAAACUGGCAUGGAGUCAUGGUGUUGGAUACAUAGCUUGACAAAUUAAAGGAAGCAAAACAAAUGAUCUGAACUUAUAUUGUACAGUUGGCGAUGAUCAUCAACAUUCAUGACUUGUUCAGGUGUUCUUCCUUAGCUAGCUAGGUAGGCUGGCCAGCCGAACAGAAUCGACCUUGGGAUUUCCAGAUGGAAACAACCAUAGAUAUAUGGUUCCCCAGCCAUAUAGUAUACUUAGUUAGCAGCUUCAAGCGCCAUGUGUAUGCAAAUGCAUGGAUAGCAUAUAGCAUCAGAAAAGAAAAAGCAACCGCACUAGGCAAACAAAGUAAGUAUAUACUAGAAAGCGACAAAGUAGAGCUUCUUCUUUCUCAACGUACAGAUGGAGUUAAGAGAAUUACUCACCUUUAGUUACUUGGGGAUAGUUAGUGCUUCAUCCAAAUUCACAAAGGGAUCGAUGACCAGUGAGAAGAGUAGUGUGUAAUUAAGAUGUUGCUUGUUGGCAGAGUUUUAUAGAGGGAGGGACUCUCAUAUAUGGUUGCAUAAAUGGCAUCUAUUAGAGGAUAUGCUGUGUGUGUUCCCAUUGUUUCAUGUUUAAUUUAGUCCACUCUAUUAAGAGGAUAUACAUUACUGAUUACUGGCUCUUCCUCUAUAACUAUUCCUGCUUUCACAUUCCAUUUCAUCAACCUGCUGCAUACAUUACAUACGACUAAACUUAUCUAUCUGUCUUUCUAUUCUCUAAUCUACCAUUGGGAUUGCGGACUUGUUAUCUACAUUAAUUUAGAACCUAAAACAAGUUACUGAUAUACGCUGUAUAUUCUUAUUGGUCAUUCAGAAUGAAGAGUUCAAGUUUCCCCAAGCUGUGCUUCAGCUUGGUGCAACACUGCAACUGUGUCCCUUUCUGUUUAUAGGUACAUGCAAUAAUUCCAUAUUGGUGCCUGGUAAGACCAGUAUGAGCAAACUAAGCAACUGUUUAUCAGAGAGUGAAUAUAUGGAGAUUAGUUAAAACUUACGCGAUUGAGACAUGAAGCGCGUUAAUUGCUCAACAUUCAACGCUACUAUUGAGUAUUGACAGCAAAGUUAUUUGUAUUUAACUUGCUUGUCUUGUCCCUCAUGGCCAUGGAGAAAUGCAAUUAAUUUGUUUUGAUUGAUUUCCAUCGGGUACGUACACCGGAAGACAUGUAGAGGAAGAUCAUCGUCCCACUAUGCUAGAUACAAACAAACAAUUUGCAUGUUCAAUGAACGCCACUAAGAAGAUAAGAUCUGGUAUGUAUCCUCUUAUUUUUCUUUGAGCUCUAUUUUGAGAAGUCAACUAGUUGACAAAUUCCAGUACUUGGGGUAUAUGCCAUAAUAUUCCAGCAACUGGGUUGCCAACUUAUGUCAACUUAAAUUGAUUUAACGGUAACUACGUACGUAUUAAGUAGCUCAAUAUGUGAAGUCGCAACAUGCUAUAUAUGCUGGAAACUUGAGAUUUCUCUCUUGGGAAACUAUAGUUUAGGUGACAAAUUGAAUAUUAUUGUCUGUGUCCAACUGACAUGUUAUAUUUUAUAUUACACUUCAAAUUCUGAGCACAUUCCCAUCCUAAUUAUAAGGUGAUGCAGAGAGGUUUGGUGGAGACCUUACAGGGUUACGAAGGGACAACUUAAAACUUAUUUUUAUUUGGUCCUUUAUUUAUUGAGAUUCUACAUUGUUGUCCAAAGUCUUUUUUGGUCCUAUUAAAGUGUAACACAAUGUUCACUUUAUCCAUUUUCUGAUCAUUUUCUUCAAGUACUGAUAUGGUAUUUGUGAUCAAUCUCCGUCGUUUUGAGUGAAAAAAUAAUAGUAUCUGUUUUGUGAAUCGUUUAGGUUGAAUUAGAUUGCUUUAUCCGGAUCUAAUACUUGAAUUAGGUCCUUUACAAUCACAUAUGGUAAACGGUAGGAAGUUCAAUGUAUGAUGCAUGACGGCAUGAGAGUGAAUAGAAAUAUGAAAGAUGGAGGAGAGAAAAAUGUAUUGAGGUGCCUUCUGCAGUUUUGACUAACGGCCCUCUAUAGAGGUGGCAUGACAGUAUCUAUAUCGUUGUCUCUAGGUGGUGUGACCUUAUUUAGGUUGUAGAUCUCUACGAGUGCGAUUUGAACCCUCGGAUUGAGGAUCACCCGAGGUGCCUUGUGUAUUAGGGCUUGAGGAUUGCCUAAGAUGCCUUGGAUCUAACCUGCUCAAGACCCGGUCGGUCAUCAGUUAAAUAAUUUUUUUUUGGUAUGGUCAACUCUGAAGGUAUCAACCAUAAUUAUAGGUUGCUUGUUUAAACCCAAGUAUGACAAACCAAUCAGCAUUCAACCUGAUUCGUCAUUUAAGAAUAAUACAACACAUUCUUUUAUUAUUUUAUAUAGUGAACGAAAUAAAAAACUAAAAAAUUAAAUAAAACUUUUUAAAAACACCGAAGAAUUAAAAAAAAUUUGUUUGUGCAACUCCCAGUUCUCUUCAUACUGCUCAACUUGCUCGCUACACGCCUACACCAGUUGCAAUUCCAAUAACUCAUCUAUCCAUGCUUCGUCUUUUUCUUUUUGGUCCCUGGGUAAUAUAAUUAUUAUUUCAGAAGAUUUAAUUACUAUAUAGAAAUUUCUAUGUUAUUAUUAUUAUUAAUGACUGGAUAGGCCAAUUAUGACCACGUCAGCAUUUAACGAGAAAAUAGAUAAAAAAUUAUUGUGGUGCCACAUUGAUAUAAUCCCAUAGGUAAGGUAUGUAAGUGGGAAAGAAUUGGUGUGUGACUAACUACAAUGUAUAUUCAGUCAAAAGAUGGUUUCCCCCCGUUUUUUAAUUAUAAAUGUUGAUUUAGAUUGAAUAGGUGUACCAUUCAGAGGGACUGUUCUAAUUACACCUCUGCGCUAGAGAGUUUUGAUGUAACUUUUUUAAGAGAGUUUCAAUUGCCAUCCUCUACAAACAAAACAUGGCCUCUCCCAACAUCACUUCCUAUACCCCACCAACCAUGUUGUACCAUGGACUGGCUACGUUGCCUCGAUUGUCUAGAAGUUGGACCGAAGCCGGAGAAGAUCAUCCAUCACUGCCGUCGCAUCGCAUCCCACCAACGACUCACCGAUCGAUUGAAGAUCGGAAUGAAGCCCGGUGAUCGCGCCGUAGGGCGACGCCGGAGAACGCACCCAGACCUGGCCGCGGAGGAGCUGCGAUUAGCCGAAGCACCGUGGCGACGACGGUGCUCAUCCCGUCGGUGGAGGCCCUAUCUCUCGUGGAUAUUGGCAAAAGCACACAUGUCACCUAAAGAACCGGUUUGAGAGCAGUUCCAGAACUCACAGCCGGCCGGCCAAAGUCGACCGGUUAGUCUAAGUAGCUGAAAGAUCAAGAUAGUCAUAGUACUAACGAUGUGGUGAUUCCAAUAAGGACAUGUUGUCCAAUAGAUAGGUUUUACGGUUUUUGAAUUUACAUUUUUAUUUGGCUAACUUUAUGUCGUUGAUCCCUUUGUCGUUUGUCCAUGGACAGGAGAGAAAGGAUUGAGGUUCUUGUUUACAAGAACCCGCAAUCUAUACAGUUUCGUUUGUGAUGCCUGUACCCCCGGUUGGACACUUGUACGACUUUUGAUUCGUUUAAAAGAAAUGAAGUGGGGAUUUUGUCAAAAAAAAAAACAAAGUCUACCAUCGAAUAUUCAAUACUGUUAUUUUAUAAAUAAUUUUUUUUAUUAAAAAAAACCAACGAUUUUACCAAAUUGAAAAAACAAGAGUGAAGUCUCAAUCUCUUCGAGGCUUGGAGUAGCUCCCUCCCUAUAGGGUUUUGCUCAUCCCCCAUCACCUCUCCCCACCUCACGACACAUCCACCAAUCACAAUUUCAAGCUCUCAAACUUCAUCAACAACCCUAAACCUCUUUAUCGACUACUAAUAAACGCACCUUCAGGCUCGAUCCCAACCUCCACCAUGCCCCCGAAGCAGGUGAACCCGCACAGACCAAGCAAGCCGGCGGCCGACGGGUACGCAAAAAGAAGCACUCAGGAAAAUCACCAUUGGUCAAUGUACGAGUGGAACAGGCGGGUUUGCCCUUGGCCCAACAGCAUAAAUCCCUUCGGGGGUUGUGGAGACCGGAUCAUCUCCGACAACUUCCUCCCCUGCGGCUGAUCUAGCUUUUGUGUCUUCUCUCUUGUUUUUUCCGAUGAUUUUCCUUCGAACUAUGUUUAUGUGUCAGUUAAUAUUUCUAUUUGUUUGUUGGUUCCUUGAGUUUUACUGAAUGUAUCGAGAAGCGAAGUUGAUUAAUUGUAUGGUUAAUUACUUCUCUCAUUGUAAUCUUCAUAGAUUGCACCUUUCGAAUUAUCAUCCACACAAUAUUUUCAAGUUCUUAUUGGAAUAAUAUAAAGGUUGAUUAUUGUAAAAAAAAAAGAGUGAAGUCUCAAACAUUCAAAAUUCAAAUUAUUGUCUACAUAAGUAUCGAUCCACAAUGAAUUAGCAAUGCUGAAAUGAAACAUCAGACGAAAGAAGAAAACCAAAUCAUCUUCUAUUUAUUUUGUUCUAUUUGUAAUGAGAGUGGAUAUUAUUUAGUAUUUACCCAUAGUACAUGCGGCAACAAACAAUCUUUCCUAUCUUCCACCUGGUCGUUACCAUAGUUUCGUGGGAUUAAUCGACACCUUAAUUUAUUCAUUCGUUACAGCCAAAGUACCAUUCAAACAGAGGAUAAUUAUGUGAACUCUUGCAAACUCUUGCAAAAACUGAAAUAGAUUCCUCGAUUCUUUAUGCAGCAGAUUAAAACUGGGUAAAAGUUAAAACUUGCAAUUCUUGCAGAAACUGAAGAAAACAUGGUUGUACGUAUAUGAAACUAUUUGUUGUCACCUGUCAAUCUAUGGUCUAGAGAUAGUGAUGUUGUCAAUGAUCAAUCCCUGCUACGCAUGAAUGGUAAAAUAUUUGGGAUACGCGUUUUUGUGCAUCAGGGCAGUUAGCUGUCAGAAACUGGGUGAGCAAUUGAAAGGAAAGGAAACUUCGUCUCUGCAUUGAAUGAACAGAGAUGGAUCACUUCAUGUUAAAAAGAUAAAACCAAGUAACAAAAUAUAUAUAUAUUACUGAAGUUGAGCAGUACCAUUGGCCUGCAGCGGGUACUGUUCGUAAUAUGACAAAAAUGGUUUUUUUCGUAAACUUAGAGCGACAAUAAAAAUUCAGGAUAGGAAUGCAGAACAAAAUUUCCUGGGACGAUGUUGACUUGAAUUUUGGGCCUAAAUAAGUGGUGAAUUUUUCACAAGUAGUCUUGGUAGGAUGUUAUUAAGGGCCCAAAAGUGGGACUCCAUCAUUGUUAGUCCCUAUCAAUGACAAGCUUCAGGAUUAAUUGUCAAAGACAUCAUUCAUGUCUUGUCCAGUGUUGGGAUUCAAGUUUAAAUGGUUUGCCGUUCAACAAAUGAAGCUAUUAAUUUGUAGGGAACACAAAUUAAUUCUCCCUACGACGGAGCGGUUAUGCGACGUUUUUCAUCCUCCCCUUGCGUUCUCGCGUCAACCGUCGUCAACCGCCAUCAGCAACGGCCUCCGGCCAUCGGACAACCAUCAACCUUCAUCAACAGCAAUCUUCAAUCAUCGAAUUCACUACCGAUCUCCAUCGAUCCUCUGGGUAAAACCCCAUCCCUUUCCUCUUUUCCUAUCAUUGGUGCCGAGUUUCUCGAUUUCGAUUCCUUCGCAUUUCCCCUGAUUUGAUUACGACGCCAUGAUUGAUUGUUCUGGCAAAGGUCGAUCCUCUAAUCUCCUACUUCUACCUUAAAUUCGGCCGUGUAGCCUAAUUUUGCCUUUGUGGUAGAAUUCGAUCAUCCAUAGAAAGGCCUUCCACAUUCACUUUGUUGGGUUUGUUUUGGAUCCAAUUGGGGUCUCUUCGACCAUCGACAAUCUCGACUCAAGCACACGGAAUCCAUACUCAUCGGCACAACAUGUACCUUUGUUGCAUCUCAACUCGUUUCCGGCGGAAGAGGAUUCAACACGGUUCAACCCAACCAACCAACCCUUGAAGCUGAAUUAUAGGUGGAAAUGUUAGUAGAGGAAAAUGACCGAGUGGUUAAUUGACCCAUGACCAUGAUCUUAUUACAUCAACAACAACAGCAACAAGAGACCACUUUCAAAUUUAACUCAAGAUACACAAAUUUUGAACAGGGUACAUGGAAAGUUGUGACUGUACAUAACACUAGUUAUCAAACUGAAUUGGCCGACAAUAAUUGUUCCUUCUCUCACCUCAAACUGUCAAAUAGAUUACAAACCAUCCACCUUGGAAGCUGACUCCUUCCCCACAAUCCCCUCAAUGGAAUCAAACUCUGUCCCCUUAGCUAUAUCUCAGAAACGACUGCCAAAUAGACACUUUUCAUUGAGAACAAUAAGAACACAAAAGCAAGACAACACAAUGUAACAACGUGCUGAACUGCUGCUACCUUGAUUUUAGCAUUACUUGUGGUUGUUUUAGUCGAACCGAUACUCGGAAACCCAAACCUUGCUGGUUUCUUCUCCAAUGGCCUCAGUAUCUGAAAUGAACACAACAAGUCCCCAUCCACACUCAUCAUUGCACCGGCAUUGUCAAACUCCCCACAGUAAUUUGGUGCUGAGAAUAUUGUCACUAGUUGCUUAUUAGCAAAGAACUCAUAUCCAUCCUCCAUAACCUGCAACCAACAAAAAUGCCACAUUAUUAUAACAAUCAUAUAUGUACGUAACUUCAGCAUCCAUAUAAUACGUAGUUAUCUACUCCUCCCAACCUGAUGUGCCCUGCAGAUUAGAUCAAGAUCAAGCUUGCGAAGAAACUCAGUGACUCGAUCAGCUCCAAACGUAUACGAAACACCUCUCUCGUUCGGCCCCCACCCUCGAAUGUCCUUGGAAGGAUCAGACCAUAGAAGAUCACACAACAAUCCACUGUCAGGGAUGGAAGUUGGCCGCGGUAGGUUCCUGAUUUGGUCCAAGCUAUGGAGAUCAGGAGACAACCCACCGUGCAUACAUAGAAUCUUUUCAUCAAUGAGAGCCGCCACGGGGAGGCAAUUAAAGCUGUCUGUGAAGAGCUUCCACAGCCUGACACUGUACCUGCGUUUACACUCGUCGUAGAAGCCGUAUAUCCUGUUGAGAGAGGCACAUUCAUGGUUGCCUCUCAGUAGGAAGAAGUUCUCAGGGUACUUGAUCUUGUAAGCCAAGAGAAGACAAAUGGUCUCAAGGCUUUGUUUCCCUCUGUCCACAUAGUCUCCCAAGAACAAGUAAUUCGCUCUUGGUGGGAACCCUACACUCUCAAAUAUCCUUAGCAGGUCACUGUACUGUCCAUGGAUGUCUCCUGUUUAAGUUUCAAGUUCAUUGUAGGCAGCAUCAGAGAAAAACCCUCAAGAAAAGUAGUGAACUUUUUACUCAUGGUUGGUAAAUUGAGCAAAUUUGCUGAGUCGAAAUACUGUUACAUAAGCAAAUCGGCAAAUACAACUUGUAAUUUCCAGCACAAUCAUAAUAAGUUAACUAUUGUGCAAUCACUCUCAUACGCGUAUAUAACAAGUUAUACACCAUUACCCUAAACAGAAUCAAACAACAGUAGAAAGAAAUCCAUGACUGAAAAAAAGGAAACAAAUUUCUGAAAAGAAUGAUACGUAACUCUGCAAUCAGGGAGAGCAAAAAUGAGAAUAGAGGUGAAGGAUGAUUAUUGAUUACCACAGAUGUUGAUAGGAGCUUCAAUCUCCAAGAGAUUAGGCUGGUUCAGUAAAACCUGGCGGGAGGAGACACAAAGCUGGACGAUUUCGCUCUCGGAGAGCUGAACCAGCUUUCCGGGCUUUCCCCUGACUUCAAGCAAUCGGCUGAUGAUACUGUCAAGAACCCAGCGUUCUAUCAUCUUCAAAGUUGCAGACUUUUGAUUAAUUUGUUGUCAGGCAGCCCUCAGAGAUGGACAAAGAUCAUAGAUGAAGAAGAAGAUGGGAGAGAUGGUUUCUUAAUAAUGGGGAGCAUGUAGUGUAUGUGUAUAACUUUGGGGAAAGAAGGGUUAUUGGGUUUUGUGUUGAGUGACUUUGAUGUGGAGGAAGGAAUGAGAUGACGAAUGGUUGUGGAGAAAAGGGCAAAUACACAAAAUUAAAGGCAAUUUGAGAGGAGGAUAUAUUCUAUUCUCUGAUUCUCUCCUCUUGGUGUUUGUUCCUUUUAGGGGUUUAUUUCAAGAAACGAGUUUACUUUAUCAAGUUGAAUAUUAUUGGCCUUUUUCUUGGUAAUGGUUGGUUUCAUUUCACGGUGGAGCCAAAAACAAAAUUCAAUAAAAAGCACAAGGUGAAAUAUGCUUUGAUUUUGGAAUAAAGAAGACGAAUUUAGAAUAACACGGAAACCAAUAGGUGAAGUGUACUUAGCACUCAUUUUGCACAUUUAAUAGUAUUAGUUCGAUUUCGAAUGCCCCAAUGGACAAACUGUCUAUAGGCCCCGGCUUCGUUCCACCGGGUUUAGGCCUGACAUGAUGGUAAUAGCCUGGCAUGAUGGUAGUAGCUACGUAGUUCAAAGUCCAUCAACUGGGGUCUAGGCCAGAUUUUUAAUAUUUUAUCGACUCAUAUUUUACUAUCAAUUUUAAUGUCAUAAAAAUAUGUCUGAUGAAAUGUCAUGACAAAAAUGAUUCCAAAAUACUAGCUAAAUGUGUCAUUGUCGUCAACCAACAGAAGGAAUUUCAACUAGAUGUGGAAUUGCAUGGGGACGAUCGUUCUGCAGAUAAACAGAACUUCAAACGGCCGGUACAACCGGGAUGACUGAGCUGGCAAGAGAGAAAAACAAAUACUAUUUCUAGAGUUUAAACCGAAAUAAAACUAAAAAAAGAAAAACAAACUGAAAGCAAACGAGUCUAACGAAUGAGAAAAAUAAAAAAAGAACUAAACGCCUAACAAAUUUGGAUGUGAUAUCCGUAUUGAGCCCGCUAAGAGAGGCUAGGGUUCUUAGCGGUCUUGAGUUCUUGGAUCAGUCGGUGUGUCCGAAACCGAGCUGCAACUCGGUCGAACCGGUUCCUAGUUGCUUCUUCCUCUGUUUUUACUAUUAUUUUAUUAUUGGUUAAUUUUCUUAAUUAAAAUUUUUACUUAAUUUACGAAUGAUGAUGUGGCUACAUUUGACAUGUUAGCUGAUACGUUAUUUUAGUGGUCUCAGUUUCAGUUAAUUUGGACGGAAAAUUUAGUGAAAUUUUGUUAAAAGGCAGGACCGAGAUUUAAAAUGAUUCAAACUAAAUUUGAAAAUCCGCUUUAAAUUUGGGAUAGAUUUGGGUAUUCGGCUAAUAAAAAGUUUGGCGAUUCGAUAGAUUUAAGCAUAUCCCUAUACGUUGAAUUUGAAUUAUUUUCUAUUAAAAUGCAAAACUGGUGUUUGCUUGGUUGAACAAGUAUCGUAUCAAAGGUUCGUAGACAUGGUGACACUUAUUGAAGCCUGGCACGUCGGUCGAAUAUUACCCGCCCAAAAUAGGUGAGACAACAUAUUUUUAAGUAGGAAUUAAAAUUUCUUUUUUAAAGAGAGGAAACAGAAAAUAAACCUUUUAAAACAUAAAUAGAAAAAUUUGCAUUCCUCGUAGUAUACGGAUUGAGAUUUUCACGGGUUUCCAUUGCCUCUUGAUCGGCAAUCGAGUGGCACAAAACACCUAAUCUCCCUUCCAUAAUCCUCCCUAUAUAAACAACCUUGGGAUUGCACUAAAUCCUCCACCCAACCCAAACACCAAAGCCAUAGAGAGAGGGAGAGAGCCAGGGGGGGAAAGCCAUGGCUCUACAAAUUGUAGUGAUGAUGUUUCUGCUGGCAGCUGAGAUCUCUGAGUUAGGGAUGAUAUCAGCUGAUCCAAUUCCAAGUGUUGACCCUUGCUCAACAUCACACUACGUAUACAAACCUUCUAAAGAGCUUCCCCAUGGCCGUUAUAGUUUCCCUCCUGGCUUUAUCUUUGGCACUGCCACUUCUUCUUUUCAGGUUAGUUAAUUACUUCUUCACUCUAUUUAAUCGAUAUGCAUCCAUAGCGAGCGAGGUGGUAGGUCUGCUGGAUUUCGGCUUGGAGAUCCCAGCUUCGGAGUCCGGAGAGUGCACUUCUCACAACCCUAUUAUAGCGAUGUCCUCUGAUUUGCUUAAAUAAAUGCUCGUGCUUAAGAUCGAUAAUCCUGAAACUUAUCUGACUGUUCGUCAUAAAAAACAAUGCAUAUAUCAUAUAUAAGUGCUAGCUAUGUAUUAUUUUUCCUAUUUCUUACUUAUUAUGGUGGUAAUGAAGAUUGAGGGAGCUUCAGAUUUUUCGUAUGGGAAAGGUCCGAGCAUUUGGGACAGAUUUACCCAUCAGUAUCCAGGUUUGUGCCAAUUUAGGACUUUAAUUUGAUCAAUUUUUGAACAAAAAACCGAUUCCACCCAAUUUUGUAGCUAAUACAUUAUGCUACAAUGUUGAUUCAUUUGUUGCAGAAAGGAUUUUAGAAGGUGGUAAUGGUGAUGUAGCAAUAGAUCAUUAUCACAAAUUCAAGGUAUAUGAAAAUAUACGUAAAAGUUUCUUGUCUCACCGCGAGAUAAUAUUGGGUGUCUCACUACAAUAAAUUAUAAUAAAAAAGUGAGACCAAAAACGUUUGGUGCGUUAUAAUUAUAAAGGGUAUCAUUGUUUUAUUAUAAUGAAGCACCCAAUUUUAUCUUUUUUUUCAUAAAUCAAUUAACCACUUUCUCUUAUAUAUUAAUAUAGGAAUGAUCAUAUGACUAAUUAGUUAUUUUUUAAUAAAAAAAACAGGAAGAUAUUAUGAAAAUGAAGUAUCUCAAUGUUGAUGCGUACAGAUUCUCUAUCUCAUGGCCACGAAUUAUACCAUGUAAGGAUGAUUGCUUUUCUUGUUUGUUCUUAUUUUGAGUAAAUAUUGCUACUCUUUGUUCAUCUAAAACAAAAUAAAUUAUUUUAUAAUAACAAAACUCCAUGUCCUAUAUUUUACUUGUGUAGUUAAGUACUUAUUCUCAAAAUUGUGUAUGCAGCUGGCAAGAGAAGUGACGGAGUUAAUCAAGAAGGAAUCAAAUUUUACCACGACCUCCUCGAUGAACUCAUUGAAAAUGGUAUAUAAUCUCGUUUUAUUAAAUUAGUAUCAAUGGUAUAUCUCCAUUUAUAAAAUCUCGUUAAUGCUAGUUAUAUUGUGUACGUAGGGAUCGAGCCUUUUGUCACAAUAUGGCAUUGGGAUACCCCUCAGGCUCUUGAAGCUGAGUAUGGUGGCUUUCUAAGCCGAGAUAUUAUGUAAGUUGCAUGUAUUUCUCCAAAUUAGUCGACUUCAGUUGAGUCUGUAUGGUUACUUAAUUCAUACAUCUUGAUCUUGUCUCGCUACGCAGAAAGGAUUUUGAGGAUUACUGUGACGUCUUGUUUCAAGAAUAUGGCUCAAAAGUAAAGAAAUGGAUAACUUUGAAUGAACCUAUGGGUAACGCAAUGAAAGCCUACGAUGAAGGGGUUUUCGCACCCGGACAUUGUUCUGUAUGGGUUGAUAGAGCAUGUAAACUUGGAGACUCUUCAACUGAACCUUAUAUUGUUUCCCAUCAUCAACUUCUUGCUCAUUCCGCUGCUUACCACUUAUACAAAAACAAAUAUCAGGUUUGUUGCAUUUUCCACUAGAUAUAUAGUUGCAGGCUAGUCAUGGUGCGAACCUAUACUUGUAUUUUUUUACUGUAUUAAUUUAUUCAUUUUUUUAUGGAAUAGAAUCUUACUGGAGAAAUAGGAAUAACCUAUGUCUCACAUUGGUUUCUUCCUUACUCUAAUACAACUGAAGAUAUUGAUGCUGCUCACAGAGCUCAGGAUUGGAUGUAUGGCUGGUGAGUAGCAUUUCUAUUAUCUCUCUAAAAACUAAUUUUUCAUUUAAACUAUUAGCUAAAAACUAAAUUGAUUAUUUCGGAUGUAGGUACAUGGAUCCAAUCACCUAUGGUUAUUACCCUAGAACAAUGGUGGAUUUAUUGGGAUCUCGUUUGCCCAAAUUUACACUAGAAGAAUCACGCUUGCUUAGAAAGUCAUACGACUUUUUAGGCAUCAAUUAUUACACUAGUUAUUUUGUGAAGAACAAUGAUAAAUUUGAUAAUGCUCAUCUUCGAUAUGCAACUGAUCACCACGGCAUUACUACACGUAUUAUAUUCAAUAUCUCAAUUAACUAGUUUCAUUAAUUUCAAAUAUGAGGCAAAGAAAUUGUCUAAUACGAAUUUUUUUUUAUUUUUUGUUUUCCCAUCAGCUGAUAGAGACGGAGUGUACAUUGGACCACAUGUAUGUGAUAACCUUGCUCAAAUAAUAUAUUAGUUACUUGUUAAUAAUAUGAAAUUAUAAUAUUGUAAUACAAACAAUUUAACUUUUGUUAACAUGCAGUUGGGUUCAUACUGGCAAUAUUUAUAUCCAGAUGGUUUACGAGCAUUGCUGAAGUACACUAAAGAAAAAUAUGAUAAUCCUGUCAUUUACAUAACUGAAAAUGGUACUUAAUUAUACUAAUCAAUCAUGUAAUGACGCAAAUAAAAUUCUUACUUAUUAAAGUUGAAUUAACUAUUUAACUAUGUAUGGUAUAAUUGAUGAUCAGGAUUAUCGGAGAAGGACAACGCUACACAGACACUUGAAGAGGCACUACAGGACAAGAUGAGGAUUGAUUUUUACAACAGCCAUCUUACAAGUGUUCUGCAAGCCAUCAAGUCAGUACAAAUAUAAUAAUAUUACGCAUGCUUUCCACGCACAGUUUAUUAUUCAUGUAACAAGAAACUCUGCAACCGAGCCUUACAUUGUUUCCCAUCAUCAACUUCUUGCUCAUUCCGCUGCUUACCACUUAUACAAAAACAAAUAUCAGGUUUGUUGCAUUUUCCACUAGAUAUAUAGUUGCAGGCUAGUCAUGGUGCGAACCUAUACUUGUAUUUUUUUACUGUAUUAAUUUAUUCAUUUUUUUAUGGAAUAGAAUCUUACUGGAGAAAUAGGAAUAACCUAUGUCUCACAUUGGUUUCUUCCUUACUCUAAUACAACUGAAGAUAUUGAUGCUGCUCACAGAGCUCAGGAUUGGAUGUAUGGCUGGUGAGUAGCAUUUCUAUUAUCUCUCUAAAAACUAAUUUUUCAUUUAAACUAUUAGCUAAAAACUAAAUUGAUUAUUUCGGAUGUAGGUACAUGGAUCCAAUCACCUAUGGUUAUUACCCUAGAACAAUGGUGGAUUUAUUGGGAUCUCGUUUGCCCAAAUUUACACUAGAAGAAUCACGCUUGCUUAGAAAGUCAUACGACUUUUUAGGCAUCAAUUAUUACACUAGUUAUUUUGUGAAGAACAAUGAUAAAUUUGAUAAUGCUCAUCUUCGAUAUGCAACUGAUCACCACGGCAUUACUACACGUAUUAUAUUCAAUAUCUCAAUUAACUAGUUUCAUUAAUUUCAAAUAUGAGGCAAAGAAAUUGUCUAAUACGAAUUUUUUUUUAUUUUUUGUUUUCCCAUCAGCUGAUAGAGACGGAGUGUACAUUGGACCACAUGUAUGUGAUAACCUUGCUCAAAUAAUAUAUUAGUUACUUGUUAAUAAUAUGAAAUUAUAAUAUUGUAAUACAAACAAUUUAACUUUUGUUAACAUGCAGUUGGGUUCAUACUGGCAAUAUUUAUAUCCAGAUGGUUUACGAGCAUUGCUGAAGUACACUAAAGAAAAAUAUGAUAAUCCUGUCAUUUACAUAACUGAAAAUGGUACUUAAUUAUACUAAUCAAUCAUGUAAUGACGCAAAUAAAAUUCUUACUUAUUAAAGUUGAAUUAACUAUUUAACUAUGUAUGGUAUAAUUGAUGAUCAGGAUUAUCGGAGAAGGACAACGCUACACAGACACUUGAAGAGGCACUACAGGACAAGAUGAGGAUUGAUUUUUACAACAGCCAUCUUACAAGUGUUCUGCAAGCCAUCAAGUCAGUACAAAUAUAAUAAUAUUACGCAUGCUUUCCACGCACAGUUUAUUAUUCAUGUAACAAGAAUUGUCGGAUUAUGCAUGCAGUGAAACACAGGUAAACGUAAAAGGGUUCUUUGCGUGGUCAUUCGCAGACAACUUCGAAUGGAACGAAGGGUACACAGUUAGGUUUGGGUUGUACUACGUUAACUACACCGAUCUCUCCAGACACCCAAAGGACUCAGCAUGCUGGUACACUAACUUCUGCAACAAGACCCAGCCGAAGACGAAGUACUUCUCUAACAAAUUUGAUCUUGAUCAGCUCAUCACCACACGUGCCGCUCCCGAAGGCCUCUCUCCUCUGCGGACCGUCUUUAAUAGUGUCAAUCAUCAAUCUUAAUUCUCAAGACCGAUGAUCUCUUACGUACAUAUUGUUACGUGCAUAUUGCAAGACAAAUGAGAGUACGUAACUAUUGUUACGAGAGAGACGAAAGGUGGCUUAUAUAUCAGUCUACAUUGAGCUGCGUUGUUUGCAAUUAGUAGUGGGAAUGAGAUCAUAUUGUAUUCUUGGGUUAUUCCCUUACGCGGUUUGCUUGCAUAGCUCAUUGUUGUUUGAUUUCUGGGUUGUAGGCUGAUAAGUAAUUAAGAACGAUGAUAUUUCCGCUACUGAACCGGUUGACGAUCUUGUGUUUUUCUUAUUUUAACUAAUGAUGCUUUGAGAUACUGCAGGUCCAUGUCAUCUUUCUAUGACCAUUUCGGUUCGUUUAGUGCUCGUCCCGAGUUUAGAUAAACCAGAAAGGUUCCAUCUUUGUGUAAUAGAACCUGCAAUAUAUUUCAUUCGAUGGGCAAGAAAGGAAAUAAUCAACUUUCUAGAUGGAUUCAAUUGACUCGUUUCGAAAGGAAUAGCACUGAGUAAACCAUUAUGGUUAUAUGGUUUAACCCAAUGAUCAUAUAAUUUUUUUUACAGCUAAAGGAUAAUACGAUUAACAAUAAAAAAGAUCUGGAAGUGGAGUUCCGUUGUUGACAUCGUUGGAACUCCACUUCCCAUGAAGGCAGUUACUAUUAAUAAUUUAAAAAUAAAAUAAAAAUUAAUUUUAUAUAGAGACUUAUGUUAUUUUUUAAUUUUACCAUUAGUCUUAUACUUUAAUUGAUUGAUCCCAGCCAUAUUAGACAUUCAUGAGACCUGGACCGAUGCACUCAUUCACAGUCAUUUAAAAAAAGUGUUCUCAAUUUCUAGUCAUCAUUACAGGGUUAAUUUCAUCAAUGAUACCAUAGGCGAGGACGAACAUUAGGGGGUUGAUUACAUUUUUGGUACCUUACUUAUUAAUAAGGUGUAUUUUGAUACUUUAUCUUUUGUUUAUAAUCAAAUGAUACUUUAUCUAUUAAAUUGUAACUAUGUGGUAUCUUCAUCCAUUAUUUCUUUAUCAAAAAACAUUCCAUCCAUUUUUUUCGUUAACUGUUGACGUGGAAGCCCAAUCACUUACCCGGUCAGCAAAUAUAAUAAAAAUUUGUAAUUUAUAUAGUAAUUACAUUUUUAACAAAAUAUAUGAUUUAAUGAAUUAUUUAGUUAAUAAAGGAGGCAGAGGCGAAGCUCGUGUUAGGUGAUGGUGACAAAAGGGGAGAUUGUGUUAGGUGAUGGUGGCGAAGGCGUAGAUCGUGAUAUGUGACGGCGGCGGAGGCAGACCUUGUGUUAGGUGAUGGCGUCGGAGGCAAGGUUCGUGUUAGAUGACGGCGACAGAGGCGACUGUUGUCGGGAUGUACCAGAAAAGAUGAAUGUGGCAUGGCGGGAGAAGGUGAAUGGUACGGAAAAAAGGAUUUUUAGGAAAAACUAAUAUAUUAACUAAAUAAAAAAUAUAUUUUUUUAAAAACUAAUUACUAUAUAAAUUACGAGUAUUUUUUAUUAUAUUUGUUGACUGGGAUGGGUGAUUGGACUUCCACAUCAAUAAUUUAUCGAACAAUGGAUAAAAAUUGAAUGGAGGUACCACAUAGUUACAAUUUAAUAAGUAUUAGGUUACAAAUAAAAGAUAAAGUACCAAAAUGUAUCUUUUUAAUAACUAAGGUACAAAUAUACAUUUUUGAUAGGUAACCGCUACUAUUUAUAAAAGGUAAAAUCCCCUCAGCUAUCAUAAAUUAUUUGAAAAAUAUAUUUUUAGCAUCGUACGUCGGAAACAGAGAAAUCAACAACUGACGAUGAGCUUGUGAGAGAGGAGAUCGACGUCGGAGCUAUGGAUGAGAUCGAGGAAGUGCUGGGUACGCCAUGGUGAGAGUUCUCUGUUGUGUUUUUUUUCUUGAGAUCAAAACUUUUUGAUCAAGGUGUUUUGGGGGACGAGGUGCAAAAAGAGUGGGAUUUGCAUAAUUCGUCCCGUUUAAAAGGGAAUGGGAAUGUCCAUUUUGGAUAGAAUUUGGGCUAAUUAAAAUUUUAAAAGUUUACGAUUUUGGAGUGAAAUUUCCAUACCGAAAACACGGAUUUGGUCCCAUCCAUGGGAAUUGAUCAGAUCCUGAGCCCAAAUUCAAUACAAAAAACGAUUGCUUAGUUAUCAUUAAUCUUUAUAAUUUUCGGUAAUCUCAAUUCUCGCGUCCAAACGGUCUCAUUAUCGUACCCCAGAUAUUAAUAACUCUCAUAGUACAAUAACUAAUGUGGAUUUACUUAAGACGAGAAUAGUCUAACACAGUGGCCCCUCCUAGUUUGAACAAAGUGGUAGAUUGGCAACAAAUUUUCAAACUUGCCGACUCAACUUGUUCCAUACGUACGUAGUACACCCACCAUGCAUUUAUAAUCCAAAGCCCCAUCAGACCAGAGAUCAAUUGUUAACGUGAAUAUAUCAGUAGCCACUGGCCACAUAUUUGGAUCUAAGACUCACCAUAUAUAAAAAGGAGGCACCCAUUCUUCUAAUUACACCAUUCAAGUAAGCUGCAGCCCUCAAACCAACACAAGACAAAAAAAACAUGGCGCUCAUGAUCACAAACUUGGCAGUUCUGUUCCUCGGAGCUUUACUAGCCAUAAGUACUAGUGCCACUCUUUCUAUGGGUGAUGAUGAUAAUGGCUAUGAGAGCCGUCUAGCCAUGAGGAAGGCGCCAAUACCAUCACCAAUUGUGCCUUAUUAUCCUACACCUCCAAGGAAAGUCGGGCCGCCGUUGCCGCCGAAGACGAAGGGGAAGCCUCACCAUAGCCAAUCUCCAAUUGUUCCCUACUUCCCCUUCUAUUACAUCCCAGCACCAUCACCGCUGCCUAAUAAUUAACUAAACAAGGAGGUGAGCCACCUGUUCAUGUACGUAGAACAUUUCCAAGGGAUGAAUAAAAUAAUAGUUUCAUAAGCCAUAUUUCCCGACUCGUCAUAUAUGAAUACAAGGAUGAAUUAGGUUCAGAUUAUUGUUUAAAAAGUUGUGUCUUAUAUAUAUAUUCUCGUGCAACUUUGCAAGUUAUUACUACAGUUUGAUCCUCUCUGUCCUAGCAGGUACGUUUUUCUGGACAACUAAGUGUUGAAUGCUGAUGAUUGAUGCAAUCAGUUAUGCAGUGUCUAAUUCCUUGUGCGCGGUUAUAUCAGUGUAGUUAGUAAAAUACGAUAUUGGUAUAAUACGAUAAUUAUACAUACAUGUAUAAUAUAACAAUUUUUUAGCAAUAGUACAAUAAAAAAGUCGGCGAUUAAAACGGCUAAUUGAAUUAGACGGAAAUAAGAAUUAUAUAUGCAUAAUACUUAUUUUAAUUUAAUAAACGUCAUUAAAAAUACGGAUAUAUCUUAUAAAAAAUUAUUAAAAAGUUGAUAGGACUUUGACAUAAAUAAAAUAUGAGUGAACUGAAAAGGGAAUCAAACUUUCAUAUUUUAUUUCAUAUAUACGGCUCAUGCGUCUUUAUACGCGCACUAAAUGGAUUCCAUUAUUUAAACGCGUAUUAGACGGCGGACAAACACAAAAAACGGGAAACGGAGUAAAAAACAGGGAUACGAAUUGUACGCGAAUAAGAUAGCGUUUUUUCCGUAUAAACUAACUAGACCGGACGUAGUCCGUAUUUUAUUUGGAGGUGAUGUCGAAUUCCCGACGAAGAUGAAGAACUAAGAUUGAGUAUCUCUUCGAGUAAGUUUUUUAUAUUUAAAUAAAUGUAAAGAUAAUUUUGUAACUUUUUAAAAUCUAAGGAGAUUAAUUUAACGUACGACGUCGAAUAACAAUAAGGGUAAACUCAAAUCCGGACCCAAAGCAAUCGCCACAUAUUUCGAAACCCCAAUCUCAGACAUUCUAUCUAGUUUUGACUCCUUUGACUAAUGUAAUAUUGUAGAUUGGAGUAGGUAGUCCAGCCAUUAUAUUAUUAUCAUUUUUCCUAAAAACAUCAAGCAACCACAACCUCCGACGAGGGUCCGCCGAUGGCGCAGCUCUCCAGAGGGUUUCUAGUGACUUUUUUGGCGAGUUUUCGCUAACUUUUUCAUAAGGUUUUUGUAAUAUAUUACAAUCGUUUGUAUCAAAUUACACGAAUAACAAGUUAGAAACGACUAAAAUCAGUUACAGACGAGUAUAACAUGUUAGUUGUGUAACACAGGGUAUACACAGAAUAGGUUUAAUAUUUUGCAACUGAUUAUCACCAUAUGUAACACGAUAUAAUCGCAUAUAACUAAUUACACGAAUACUAAUUAUAAUCGUCAAUAACUAGUUAUAAUCACCGACAAAAUACCAUUUGGAUCCGACCACCUUUGCCUAGUGGAUCUUGGCAGCUUACCUAGGACCUGGCUAUGCCCCUCGCCAUAAGACUCCCUUCUCACGGUAAGAAUGUUUGGGAGUCAUAAUUAUCAGCAAAUAACCAAACCAAUUACCACCACGUUACAAUGUCGGCAUGCAUUGCAAUUUGCAAGAUGUUGAUUGAUUUAGCUUAACUGUAAAAGACAGCGCAGCAUUAAUUAUCAUUCACGACUUAAUGAGCCCAACUCCAUUUCUUAGAGGGCAACAAAGCCAAGUCUCUUAUCUGCACCAAAUUUCCCAACUUUCCAACUAAUGGAGCAUUGAUUCCUCAACCAAUUCCAAUUUAACUCCCCACAGCGCAGCAUUACUAUAAAAAUAGGCAACGCUAUCUCUCCUUUCCAAACCACACUCCUACCGAAAGCAUAUCAGUCUAAUUAGCCUAAAAUGGAACUCAGCCACUUCCUACUUGUGCUUAUUGUGGCUCUAGCGGCUGCUAUAUCACUGACCACCGUUCCUUCCGAGGCUGCUGAGUUCGUCGAAGAGAAGCCCUUUUUCAAGAAGAAGCUGCCCAAGUUUGAUUAUCCUAAGCCAUACCAUUACCACCACCCACUCUUCAAGAAGCCGGUCGAUCCUUUCCACCACAAGCCGCUGAUUAAGCCGCUGCCCAAGAAGGUUUACCCCAAGUUCAAGUACCCUAAGUAUGGCCACUAUCACCCUGGACACCCUCCUGUCGAGAAACCCUGAUUAGUUGAUCAUCAAUCAAUCGUCAUAUUAUAUAUAUGAAUAUUGUUGGAGUGUAUGAAAUAAGUCGUUACACCGUCAUGUGUAUCAUGGUGUUUUUUUAUAUAUGUAUCAUCUUUCUAGCUGAUCGAUGCGUUUGAGAGUUGGCGUGUAGCCUGAAUACUGUGUGGCAUGUAUCAAUUUCCUGACUAUGGCAGGAUUGUAAGUUCAAUCAAAGUAUGUUUCUAUUUCCGCCACACUAUGAGUCUACUAUGCCUAGACUGUAGAGUACAUUCUUCUUGUGGGGAAUUUAAAGCCCAUAUUAUUGGAGUCCACAAUGAAAGCCCGUUGGUGACAAGUCCAUCGAGUCUUGAAAAAGUGAUGAUAGC
rnacentral:lncRNA from 1 species